GUUGACCGACGGUAGACAUCACAGGAUAUUGUACAAGAGACACUCGGCAAUCGAUCCUGUGAAACGUUGGAUACCGGCGGCGGGACGGAUCCGGCGAUAGCGGUGGUCGAAAAUGCGUGAGUCGCAAUCCGGUUUCGGCUAACAUCUCUAGAAAUAUUAUGCAACUUACAAACGAAUCUACGGGCAAACGGCGAUCUCAGGUGAGAGUAAAAUCGAUGUUUUUAUCUCUUUCUUUCUCUCUAAUCGAUUAACAUGAACCGUAAGACUCGCAUCAUCUUGAAAAAGUAUUCAUUUUUUUGGGAAUUUGUUUUUUUAGACAAUUUAAAGAACAAAACAGCUUUUAAACUUUAUAUUGCCGUCGUUUUUUGUCAUUUUUAUUUUUUGGGGUGACACUACUAACUAAUUUUGAAAUUAAAUGGAAACAGAAAUGGCAUUUUAGUUUCUUAUAAGAGUGUUUACAAUUUUACGAAACAAAUUCUCUCUCUAACCAAGACUAAGGCUAAUAAUUUUUUAAAAAAAAGUGCUGAAAUGAAAUACACGCAGUGGUUGUUGAUAAACAAAAAAAAAAAAAAGAUGAGAGGCUAAUACUGUGUGUGGUUAUGGUUAGGUUAGGUUAAUUUAAUCUGUACGCUACGAUAAACUAUUGCUAACGGUACUGAUUAGUCUUAUUAUUAAUAUCGCAUUUAUUUCUUAGUCACCAUCGUUACCUAGAAAUCAAAAAAAACGUGCAGUUUUUUUUAAUUCAUUGAGAAAAAUAUAAACAAAUUCAAAAAAUGACCACAAAGAUAGUAAAAAUUUAAAUAGACGUUUGAGGAAUUUAAGUUACACUCAAAAAGUUAUACUAUUAGAUAAAUAAUAAUGUCGUUAAAAUAUUAGCAUACAUAAUUGUGUUGAUAAUUUUUACUAUACAUACUUUUAUUGUUACUUUAUUAUUUUUAUUGACACUAUUUUUGUUCCGAUAUGGACAUUGAUAUUAUGUAUAACAUUUUGUAACUUUUUUUUGAUAUUUCUUAUUAGAACGCGAAAUUCAACCUGGCUUUUAAAAAUCGUCUAAAACGGCACGUAAUCAAAAUAAAUGUAUCGCUAACUAUAAUAAUUUAACGAUGCGUUAUAUUUUACGGGCAUUUCAGCUGCUAGGUACUAAAUUAGCUCUAAUACAACGCGAAUAAUUUAUAUAUAUUUAUAUAUCAUAAUUUAUAAGUGUUUUUAAAGACAUUUUCCGCGGCUUUCUUAAAUGAUACUUACAUCAACGAAAUAUAUGUCAUAAUAACUCUUUUAUGCAAUUAGCACUUUCAACAUGACGAUAAUUCACUAUAGAUUUGUGUGAAUACGUAUUUGCGGAAGUUUCAGAACGUACAGCUAUUUAAAAUUUAGUAAAUAUAUCAAUUUUGUGUCGUUUAUUAACAAACACCAAAACGAUUUUCAUAUUUGUAUUGUUCAUUAAUUACAAUAAACGUCACCGUGUUAAAUUUUCGAGCAUUUUCGCUGGGUCAAACGUAUCCACAAAACCGAAUAAAAACUAAAUCGCGAACAUUUAAAAUUGCUAUUAUUAGAUCACAAAUCGCCAGAAUAUUUUUACCAUGUCUAGAAAGGGCUAAUAUAAGUACUCGGUAAAUAUUUCAGGUAUCUAUGAUUAUUUAUAAUUAAACUACCACCAAAUACAAAACCGAAAAUAACACAAAACCGUUCUUGAGUAAAUUUUUCAGUUUUUUUCUCAGGUUUUCUCAGUUAUAAAGAAAACUAAAUAAUGGUCUUCUCAAUGCAGCUAACUAGACACAUUUUUUAACUAAAUUCAAUUUGCAUCCAGAACCACCCUUGAAGUUGAUUAUCGUUGAUCGUUGAUGAAGUGCAUACAGCAUACCUGACUUUCGCCCAUCUGUAAAAUACAUUUCGAUGUAUUAAUUUAAUAGAAAUUUCUGAUGAGUGAAAUUUUAAUUUUUGUUUUUUUAAUAUAAAGUAAUGUCAGUAAUCAGACCGGUUAUACAUUUGUAUUUUGUGUUUACUCGUAUAAGCUUAAAUGCAAAUCGCGUAUUAAAUGUAUGCAUUAAAAAUGUGUUAUGGUAUUAUAAUACUGUCAAAUUGUUCCGGCUAUAUUGACUAUUGAGUUUAAUAAAUAAUUGUUGAUUUCUAAAUUGAGCAGGUGAGCAGGUGACCUUGAUAAAUUAUAAAUUGAAAAGUUAUACGGUAUAAAAAUCGAUAUAUAUAUAUAGUUUUAUAAUGUCGUGCUCAUCUACGCCGGUGUAACUUAUAGGGGGAAAUAGAGGAAAUAGGCUUCUUUAAGCAUUUAUAUGGUCCCCAAAAACCAUGAAUAAUCAUCUAACAGGUAUUUUUGUGGUCAGGAGGAGGGAUCCGCCAGUACGUUAAAGCACCCUAGUAAAUUAAAAAUCCUAGUUACACCACACCCAUGCUUAAAGUAUUCGAGUAAAAUAUUUUUAUUUUGGUCUUAUCCAUAUAGAAAGAAUGUGUGCUUUAAGUUAUUGUAAAAUUCUAUUUUAAAAAACGACUGUUUUUAAAAUACAUAAAUUCGCGUAUCACGGUCGGGGAAAAAUAUAAAUUAUUUUGUAGUUAAAAUUAAUAAAAUGUUCGAUUAAAAUUUAUCGAAAAAUGUUUAACCGAAAACCAUCCAGAAUAAGUUUUUUAUUUGUAAUAUUUAUCCACUAUAGUAUUAUUGUUGUAUAUAGUGUACCUAUGUAUAUGUAUAGUUAAACUAAAUUUACGAUAUUUUUAGCCCUGAACGGAAUAAGUUUGAACAUUGUUAUUACGAUACACGAAUUUAUUAUAAUAUCUUGUUGUACAUUUUUUUUUGAAAUUUAUAUUAUAAUUUAGCAUAAUUUAGCGAGUAGUAAAAUAAUAAUAACUUCAUCGUUUAUUAUUAGACGACGCGACGUGUAAUUCGAUUAUAAACGGUAAUAGUAUUCGCUUAGGUGAAUCCGACGCCCGUGCCAAUUUAAUUUACAAAUUUUUAUUUUUACCAUUUUAAAAGUAUAAUGUUUAAACAAAUUCGUUUCGAAACAGAAAUCAAUAAUAAUAAAAGAAAAUGAAAGAUGCAAUUUAGUCUCCCCGUCUGUCCGUAUCAACCCCGUCACCCUUUAUAUUAUUUCACCAGCGAUGUCUCGCCGUACAGUAAAACCGUGUAUGCUAUCAUUCAUAAUAUAAUGAAUAUCGAUACACGAUUUUCUAUCAUUAUUUUAUGUAUUCCGUGUCGCCAAUAUUUAAAGUUUUAACCUAAGAUAGCCAAUUCGAUUUUCGUUGCGAAAUUACAAAAUAUGCAUAUGCACUCUGAUCAACUUUAUCCGUCUUGGCGUUUCAAAACUUAUUUAAAAAAAAGGCAAGUUCAAAAAUUACAUCGGAUCAUAACAAAAUUAUAAUAGAAAACUAUCGGAAUCUAGUAAAUAUUUGGAGAAAGCGAUUUGUUUUGGCUUAUAAAGAAAAAAGUCACAUUAAAAUCAUUAAAUAAUAAUAAUUCCCUAAUCUUCUUAAUAUUUAUUAGUAAAGAGACACUAGACAAAAAGGAGAGGAAUUCCGUCCCCUACAGUACGAAAACCGACUAAUAUUAUGACGUAAGGUAUAAUAAUGCAUGGCGGUAACCGUGAUUACACUUAGUAGUCUACGGGUAUAAUAUUAAGCAUUCAUAAAAUAUGGGUAUUUUCUGAGUGGAGCGAGAAAUGUAAUGGUUUUUACAAUGAUGUUUUUUUUUAUUUUCUGUGAACAAAUUUUCUACCAGAAAUUUCGCUCCGAUUUUCAAGUACAGUAUUUUUCUGAAAGGAAACCAAACUGGGACGGUACUUUAAGGAGGUAGUUUUUUCAUUUUCUAAGCGGUUUUCAAAAUAAAUAUAAGAAAAACGGGAAAACUUACGAAAUUUAUUAUUUUCAAAUCACAAAUAUUACGGCCUUCCAAAACAUGUAUAGUCGAACUCCGCUCAGAAUCGGUUUUCAUUAACAAUGAUUAAUCUUUACGUAUUAGAUAUACAUUACAAUUCUUCUCUACUUUCCCAAAUUCUCACCUACAACAGUGGUCCACCCGUCGUGUGAAGUACGGCCAGUUGUUUAUUUAUUUUUCCUAGACCUUAAGCACACCGAUACGCACACCGCGAUCUCAAACGUUUGCGUGUGCCGAUUAUGUAAACACACGUAUUGUAGGUAAUUGAUUAAUAACAAUAAUAAUACUGCGCGUGUGCUCACUCGCGGUCCGAGGAGACGAGGCUGUCACGAAAUCGACAACAUUGUAAAUAAUAUUAUUAUAAUUUAUAAUAUUACGUUGAGUUCAUAAAAUUAUCAUAAUUUAUCGACGAGAACCUAAUAAUUAUCGUGACGACCAGAAUAAUAUUAUAACAACAUUAUUGGACGUUCGCGAUUCGUCUCGCUUGUAGCGUUUGUAGUCUUUUGUAACGACAGCGAAAGUUGAAAUGCAAAAAAUUCGAAAUAUAUUAUGUUAACUAAUAUAUGAGUAUCCAGACUAGAAUCAAAACUGAACAUGAGUUAAAGACACUGUUUUAUAGGAUUUUUGAAGGCACGUCUGAUUUUUUAAUUAGUUCGUUUCAAAACGUACAAGAAUAGGUAUGAAUCGAAUCGGAAAGUAGCGGUGUAUGUCGAAACUAAAUUGCUUUCAUUUUUAACACUUUGGAUUAUGUGAGUUUUGAUAUACGAGGUCGUAUUUAAGAGGUUUAGUAUAGGAAAUGUUCACGACAUUUUUGAUGAUGUAUCAACUUGAACAUUUUCGAAUUCAUUUCGAGAUCAAUUUAUAAGCAGUCCCGUGUCGUCAUCACAAUUGUUUAUCGCGUUAUCGUAAAAUGAAUUAUAAAUUGUUUUUAAAAUCUCUUUUGCAAGGAUCAACUUUACUAUUAUUGAAUUUAUAGAGGCAUUUAAGUUAUUUCAGAAAACAUAAGGAAUGUUAUCAGUGUGUUAACGUGCAUAUUUUUUUGAUAUCACUAUUCAAUAAUUUUUAAAUAAAAACCCCAAAAAAUCUAAAUGUUUGCAAGCACAUUACUUGAUUGUAUUUUUGUUAUCAAUAUAUUGAAUGUACAUAUAGUACAGACAGAAUUUUUCUUUAAAUGUCGUGGAAAUUUGGUAAUUCUUCUAUAAUAAAAACAAAUACAGUGCGGGUAAAGUCGUCCCGCCUAUAAAAAAAAAAAAUAGUGCAUCGGACUAAACAAUUUAAUCAAAUUAAUUAUAAUAAUACGCUGCAGGUUACAAACAGCUGACAGACCUCAUGCCAAUGCAAACGCCUCUAAACCUCCGGGUCGUUUUAAACAACGAGUAUCCAGUACAAUAUACAAAGUGUUGUCUCAACACGGAAACCAAUUUCGACUUUCUACCAUAGUAAGUAGUAUAUUACUUAUAGCGGUUCUGUAACUAAAAUCUUGCAUUUCGCAUAUUAUUAAUUUGCAUAGAAUCUGCACGUUUUUCUAUCUAUAAUUAGCUACUGAUUUCACUAUAUUUUUUUGAAAAAAAAAUAAAUACAUUUUCAGCUAAAUACGUGAUUUUUUUAAAAAUAAUAUAUUUAUACAUUAAUUUUGUACAGUAAUUGUUUACAAUUUUUUUAUCAUUCUAAAAUAGGUUUUAUAAAUUAUCACGAAUGAGAAAACAAGUCAAUUGUAUUUAGUAUUUUGUAUUUUUAUCUAUAAUAGUAUUGAUGUUUACUGUGUUUGUACUUCAUGCUGUACCGUGUAUUUUAAGCAAAUGUCCGAAGACGUUUAACAAGACGGUUACAGGACUACUAUAAACAUGUAUAUUAUACUUCUAAUUAUCACGAUCAUUUGUUACGCUUCAUUCGAACUCGUAGGUUUAAAAAUAAAAAUAAAAAUUUAUUGAUAUCAAAGUACUCUCGAUACCAUCUGGAUCGUGCGGGGCCGAAAACUGUUCGUCGUACCUACUCGCAACAUUAUGAAUUGCCGACUGUCGACAUUCCACGUUGCCGCAUAUUUUUCUGAAUUUAAAAUACGACGUUUGUUUCCGUGAUGCAUUUUCUGGAUCGAAAACGUUACGCCGUGGGAGGUGUUAUUAUAAUAAUUAAAUAAUAUUAUAUCAAUUUUUUACCGUCGUCGUCGUCGUAUAGCGUAUAAUGCAAUCACGGAAUUAUUAAAACACGUUCCGGAAAUUUUCUGGACUACCGGUGUUAUAGUCACAAACACGUCACAUCGAUUAUGCCGAGGAAAAAUAACAUCACUUAUAACUGUAAUAUUUUUAUACAACGUUUUACGAUUUCGUACGCUUUAGAUUUUAUAUUAUUUUUUUUCCAAGACGUUGAACUGAUAUAUAUAUGCGGUAAGUGUAAAAAAAUAGUUCAAUAUUUAUUUGCAUUAUAUAACAUUAGCGCAUUAUAUUACGUCAUAUUAUCAACCGAGUUUUAGGUAAAUUAAUAUAUUGUCUUGGAAUGUAUCUUUGUCAUGUCCUGUCUAAUCCGCUUCCAUUUUGAUACUAACGGUACUCCCGUGGCGAUUGAACGACAGAUCGAGAUAAGCCCUGUCGUCUUUAUCACAUUUAGGUCGAGCCAUCACGAGACGGAACCUGUGUCAUUUAGCGAACCAAACGACGGACCUGGAUGACGAACCUCGUAGUACCGUAUUGUUGUUAUACGAUAAGCGAUUCCGGCUAUGAUGUACCUAUUUCGACUUUGCCUUGGUCUCGACAGAUGUGUGUGCCCUAGGUAGAAGUGGACUCUAACUUCUUCUUCAUUUACUAUUUAUGUUUUAGUGGACAUAUAGUUAGCAAAAUGUUUACUGGAUGUCCAAUUCACACCCAAUUGUGUUUCUAUUUAGACACAGAAAUGAGAAAACCUCAAUAAAAAAAACUACCUGGCAGUGUGAAGCUAAGAACACACUAAUCACACGCUACAUGUUAACACGUCUUUACAUACCACGCUAUGGUUUUACGUGUAUGAAUGUGUGAUGAUAAUGUGCACAUUAAUAUAACGUGUGGAAUAUUUCGCACAAUACGAUUUGUAAAAUUUACAAUUAAUUAUACACGCUUAAUAUGAGUACUAUUUUGUAAUUUGAAUGUCGGGUAGGUAAACGAUUAUUCGGUUCAAAAUAUUUUAUUAUGAAAUAUGGUCCAGGCAGUGAUUAGAAAGGGGAGUUUGAAGAAACGGUCGUUGGGACGUAUUGUGUUUUAAAUCAGUCCUGUAAUCGCAGAUUUUGGGGUUCACCCUGUUAACGAAGAAAGAGUUCUGAACAUUAUAAUCUUCAGAAAAACCAUUGUAUAAAUCUUUAUGCCUCAUGAAUGUUUUUUUUUUUUUUUUUUUUUUUUUUUUAUUAAAUUAUCUUCAAUUAAAGUUGAUAUUAUCGUAAAUUAAAAUAAAACCUAACAAAAUUGACGGCAUAAUAGUCGGCGGACAAUGAGAGAAACGCCGCUGUUUUGUAUGAACACGGCACGUGUCGCACGUUUUCAAAUAAACAAAUCGUUUGAAUCGCGUGGCGCUGAACGGCGCUGGAUGCCGUGUGGUGUUAACGACGUGAUCAACAAUAGCGAUCGGUACACUAAAAAUAAUUGUACAGUACGUGUUUAGAGGCAUUUGACGUGCUACGCGACGUGACGCGUGAAUAGCGUGGUCCUCGGCUCACAGCGCAUCGUAUUUCGACCGUGUAUGCGUCGCGCAGCCCACAGCAAACGCUCUGUUUAUACGACCACGACCACUCAAGAUUGAUGGUUUUGUUGUUGUCUUUUUUCAUUUCUUCUCGGUGUUCGUUUUAUUUUCGUUGCAAUAAUUUUAUGAGUACACGCGACAUAACCGAUGGUCAUUACUGUGUUUACUGUAAUAUUCAUCGACAUAAUUAUACGAGUGUAAGACGCGUAUAUAAUGCCGCCGACAAUUAUAAUAAAAUAACAAAGUAAAAAUAAAAUUAUUUAAACGGUCAACACUCGUAAAUAAAUAUAUAAAUAAAAAAUGUAUGUAUAAAAAAUAAAAUAAAUAAAUGAAUCAAUGCGUCGCCCGGAAUAUUAUGAUCAGUAUAUUAAACGGUCGGUUUCGAAUUAAAAUUCAUCAUCAGAUAUAUCACAGUCAAAAAGUAAAAGUCACUGAAUAUAAAAAAAAAAAAAAAAAAAUGAAAUAAUACAUAUCUAGAGAAAAAAUUGUACAAAUUGGUCGUUUUACAUAGAAAAAUGUAUUUUAAUAGGAGAGAUUAUUUAAAAUUAGGUUAUUAUUAGACAUAGAUAUGUUAAAAAGUAUAAAUUAUUUGGUUAUUAUUUAUUAUCUAAAAUUUAUUAAUAUCAAAUAUUAUUAUUUUUGAAAUCGGUUUGAACAUUUAAAAUUCCAUUAAAAUUAAUUUUUUUAAUUUUAUUGAGUAGGUGUAAUUCUUUUAAAACUGAGUUAAUGUAAAUGUUAUUUUGGGUAUUUAGUAUUUCUAAGUCUGUAUUAAUAUCAAAAUUUCUAUUAUGGUUAUUUUUUAAAACGUGUUUAGCGAAAUUUGAAUUAGAGUCAGUCUUUUUUAAUUUAUAAAAUUAAAAAAGACUUUCACAUAAAAGAAAAAUUAAACAUGAAUACUGAUACUACUAAAAAAAACAUUUAUGAUUUUAUUGAUAAAAUUAAUAAAAUAAUAUUAUGUCAGGUUACAAAAUGAUUUCUCUUGACGUUAAAAAUGUAUAUACAUCCAUUCCUAAACACGAUACAGUAAAUUUUUUAAAAAAUAAACGUAUACGUAAUAAUAAAUUUAAUAAAAACGAGUACAAGAAAUUAUUCAGUCAAUAAAUAUAAUAAUUAAUCAAAACUAUUUUCAAUAUAAUAAUAAAUUAUAUUCGCAAAAAGUUGGGUUAGUUAUGGAUGGGUGGUCCUUUAAAUGCUCUUUUAUUUGAAAUUUACAUGCAAAAUUAUGAAACCAGUAAUAUUAUUAACAACGAAAUAUUUAGUUCAUAUAUAAAAGCAUAUUAGAGGUAUGUUAAUUUUUAAAUUUAGAUUUAUGAGAAAGUCUUUUUUAAUUUAUAAAAUUAAAAAAGACUGCUUCUAAUUCUAAUUUCGGUAAACACGUUUUAAAAAAUAAUCAUGAUAUAAGUUUUGAUAUUAAUACAGACUUAGAAAUAUUAAAUACCCAAAAUAACAUAUACAUUAAUUCAGUUUUAAAAGAAUUACACAUACUCAAUGAAAUAUAGAAAAAUGAUUUUAAUGAUAUUUCAAAUGUUCAAACCGAUUUUAAAAAUAAUAUCUUAUAUCAAUAAAUUUUAGAAAAUAAAUAAUAGCCAAAUAAUUUAUACUUCUUAACAUAUCUAUGUCUAAUAAUAACCUAAUUUUAAAUAAUUUUAUAUUCGAUGUAAAACGAAUUUGUAAAUUUCUUUUUUCUAUAAUUUCUUUCAAUUAAUUUUUUAUAUUCAGCCGCGUUUUACAUUUCGACUGUGAUAUACCUGAUGAUGAAUUUUAAUUCAAAUCGGAUCGUAUAGUAUAUUUAUCGUAAUACUCCAGGCGACGCAUUGAUGCAUUGAUUUAUUUUAUUUUUAUACUUCCUUUUUUUAUUUAUUUUAGUAAUUUUAUGUCUAUAGUAUUUAGUCGACACAAAUGCAUUUUAUGUCGACACAUUGUAAAAAUAAAUAGAACGCACAAUUUUUGUAAAUCGUUUUUUUUUCCUACCCCAGAAAUUGAACUCUAGCGACGCCCACACGCGGAAGUCAAUUAUUCGCUAUUACUCUUAUCAUUCAUUAUAUAAUGGUACAUUAAUUAUUUUUAUUUAUUCCAGGAAAAUUUCAAUUUUAAAUCGAUGUUACGUCAUCAUUAAAUUAACUAUUAUUAUUAUUAUUAUAACUAUUUCGCACAAAACCAGCGCGCAUUAAAUGACGAAAAGUGUUCCCCUAGUAAUUUACGGUCGGUUUAUCGGGUCGUUUGACACCGUGUGUCUUAUCCGCGAAGGUGGGCGAGUUGAUAUUAAUAAUAAUUAUUAUUGACUUAAGCUUGUUAAGUUAAAAUGCGAUACAAGGCCGUUAAGUUUACUGCUGUGUUGAUCUUUAAAUAAGUAAUAAGAAAAAAAAAUAAAAAUAUAUUCCAUAUAAAUGUACCCUAUGCUAUAUUGAUUCGUUAAAAUUAUAAUAAUAAUUAUUAAACAAUAUAGAUGAUAAAUUAUAAGAAACUAAAAUUCAUAUUUUUCCGCGUUCGGAUACACGUAUAACUGAGUACAUAUUUUUUUUGUUUUGUUUUAUAAUAAUAAUAAUAAAAACAACUCUACAGAGUCGUAAUACGGGUCUAAAGCAGUGACGUCAUCUACAUAUUUCGUAGACCGGGAUUUACCAAACUGAUGAGAAAAUAUAUUUUUCCCAAAACAAAUUUGUGUCUCUUCGCUCGAAUAUUGUCCUUUGUAUUAUGCACAUUCAUUUUCCAUAACAGGUAAACAUUCGUGGCCUUUUAAUUAUAGAUUUUGUUUACAAGUUAAAAAUCGUUGUUUAAAGUCGUGCAAAUCGGUCGGAAAAUAGGAAAACUGAUAUUUCGACCAUUAAUUAAUAAAUUAUCUGUGAGGAUGUAGGCACAAACAUAUUUUGUUCGAUAUUUCGUCAUUUUUUCACACAUGAUAAAGUAGCCAAAAAUCUACCGAAAUACUAUGGCUAAAAGUUAGUCCGGGGAAAAUGCCCAAAUUACAAAUUGGGAAAAUGGUAUCUGGGGAGGGGGGGAUUUCCCCUCACCAAAUGAUAUCACUAGUAUACAGUUUUAGACCAUAAUAAUAUAAUACAAGUAGCUAUCUACUAAAUAUUGUCUGGUGUUGUUUAACACUCAAACAUCCAAAUAUUGUGUAUUAUGACACAUAAUGUCAUAUGUGUUGUGUAUAUAUUAUACAUUUUUGUUUAUUUAUUGUUACCCCGCGGACAUUCAUAAUUAUUAAUGUAAUUUUUUUUACAUUUUUUUAUCGUUUUUAACUAUAUUGACACAUUAAUCGACCAAGAUUUUAGUGAUUUUUGCUUUAUAUUUUUUCCGUUCUCUCUAUAACGGAUAUAUUUGACACCAAGUUUAUUCGAUUUCACGUUUUCAAAAACUUGUAAAACCGUUUCGAUUACUCGUUCUUCCGACGUAAAUUAUUUACGCAUGAACGGCAACGGGGCACAGUGUUUCAAAAUACAAUUUUCACAGAUUUCGUCCCCGAGAAAGUGGUUUAAUCAUCUAAAUUGUUGGGUCGUAAAUCAAAUACGGAGAUUUUUAUUUUUAUGAUUUAAUCUUUAUAAUAUUAUCCCGCGCAUAAAGAAAAUUACUAAAAAAAACUGGACAUUUUUUUUUAGUAUAGAUAUUCGUGUGACUGAUAAAAAAUGUUUAGUGUAGACACAACAAACAUGGUUGCCUGUGAUCAACGCUAUGCACUGUCUAUUGUGUAAAUGUAUCGGACAGUAAAUAAACAAAAACUGAUUUACUGGUAUAAAAUAUAUUUAUACUCGUUAUUUAUUUAAGCGAAUUUAGCAUACGGCGGCACCCAUUUGUUUUGUUUUACAUUUAUCCAUGCUAUUGAUGGCGAUUCUGUAUUAUGAGUUUAACAGCAUUUGCAUAUUGAAUAUGUCGUUGUUUGUGGCUUUCGCCGAUAUUAUGUUCCUUGUAUAAAACUUUCUAUAACGCCUUACGACUUUGUGUCGAGUCUCAGCAUCGAUGUGUCGCACAAACUGAUAAAUCGUAAACCAAAAUAACAAAAACUGUAUUUUUAUAAUACACGGUUAAAACAAUUAAAUGGUUUUAACAUAAUAUGUCAAAUUUAAUAUUUACAUUACAAGUUGAUAUUUUCUCCUGGUACGCUAAGCUUGUGUCGGUUGGAGAGAGUCUAUUAUAACAGAAAUUGUACUUAUAAUUACAAGUUACAUCGAGAACUGUUAAAUUAUUAGGGUAAGAAUAGAAUACAUCAGAAUAUAUUUAUAACAAUAAUCACAAUAACCCUAAUGAAAACAAGUAGAAUGAGACAUCAAUCAAACAAUCGCAUACAUAGUUUUUUUUAACCCUAGUUUAAAUUUAAUAUUACUUUCUAUUAGUUUAAUCUCCGUAGGUAGUUGGUUGUACAAUUCAAUACCUCUGUUAAUAAAAUUAUUGGCCAUUAGUUUUGUAUUUGGUUCGAUUAACCUUAAAUUACUACUAUUUUCUCCCUUUUGUUUUAUACAUACUAUUGAUCCCAAAUUAUUUUCUGAUUAUUUGUAUUUUCGUUACUGACAAUUUAUUGUGUAAUUGAUCGAUUGUUAAUAUUUUUAGUUUUUGAAAUAAAUCAUCCGUGCUAGAAAUUUCGAUUUAUAUAAUAAUUGUUCAUUAAAACUCUAAUCCUGUGAGUUAUAUUUAAUAGCUCUAAUACAUUUUUAUAUGCCGAACCGCAUACAAUUAAUCCAUACAUUAUUAUAGCUCGACAUAGAGCCAAAUAAACCAUUUUUAGAUUAGGGAUAUUAAGAAUAUACAUUAGCUCUUUAAUAAUAUAAAAACAUUUCACAAUCCGAAUAAUAAUCAUUUCUAUAUGACAUUUCCAUUUCAAGUACUCGACAAAAAUUACACCCAAGUAUUUGGUUGAACUUACUCUAGUUAUAGUCUUACUAUUUUUAUCACAUUAACCUGUUAUAUUUUUUUUUUUUUACAAUUACUUAUAUAUAAUUUUAUUUCUGUCUGCUGCGGCUAGUUACAUUUCGAUAUGGCAAAAGGAAUAAACCUGAUAUUACCAUUUAUUUACUAUUGUCAAUCCUAGGUUUGCUUUAUUUUCGACCUCAGUCCAACUAUCCCCCUCAAUGAAUAGCGCCGCAGCAUUCCCAAAACGUUACCAUCUAUUUAUUCUUAUAUUAAAUAAGUCAUUAACAUAAAUUGAAAAUAGUAUCGGACCUAACACUGUUCCUUGAUUGAUACCAUACUUAGCCAUACACGAGUAACUUGUCAAUAAUAUUUGAUAACUAUCUUAUCAAUUUUUUUUAUUAUAAUUGCAUGAUUUAGGUAAAUGCACGAGCAUAAAUCACUAAAUCAAGACCUCAUUUAUAUGAACGUUUUCGCGAAACCCUUUUUAUUAUAUUAUAAUUUAAUGUAGGUAUGCAUAAAAUGUGAUAUUUAUGAAUGAAUAAUUUAUCAUUCAUUAAAUUACGUUUCAAUGCUCAUAAUUAAAUGUACAUAAAAAAAAACACCGAAUAUAAUUUUUUAAAAAAAAUUAUCGAAUUAUCUUUAAUUUAUACCUACGCAGAGAUAUUAUUGUUAUCCGGGAAAAUCGCAAUUUAAAACGCAGUGUGGCGCGCGUCGGUGCGUCGACAUAAUAUCGGCUAAAGAUAGUUUUUAUAGUGCUGAUAUUUGUGUAGGUUUUUUUUUUUUUUUUAUGAAACAAUUAUAUAAUAUUAAACACGGCUUCGAGUUUUACCUACUUACUACUAUUACACGCCUUAUUGCCGGCACCUGUUAACAAACAAACAAAAAAAAAAAAUAAAAAAAAAAAACCGGCAUCGAUAGCUACACCAGCGAGCGUCCGGGGAACACGAUAAAAGUAAUCGAUUGUGUCACGAACGCUGCAGCUUCAGGGGGAGGAGAAUUAUUAAUGAAUAGGUAAUGCACAGAGGGAGUGGUCUAAAACAAGCGCCAUUUUAUAAAACAAUAUUGUACCGUACCAAUAUUAUUCAUUAGACAAAAGGGUCCUCGUCACGAUGACGCGCCAUAAUUAAAAUAUUUUCAUUUUCGCCAUAUUGGACGAUAAAUUGUUGCACGGCGUUAACAAAUAAAUGAAUAAUAAUUUGUGCGUUUGAUUAUUCGUUUGUUCUCCCUCCCCCCGCCUUAUUGAACAAAGUGUAAUAUUUAAGAUUUUAAAAAUUCCGUCGGUCAAAGACGCUCGGAAUAAAAAAAAAAAAAAGUAGGUAAUUACCUAUUGUUCUAUAUUGGCGGCGCUAAAAAUACGCGUUUCUAUUUUUUAAUAAAACGUAAGUCUUAUUGCGCGCCGCCAGCGUGAACAUUUUGAAAAACGAAGGGUUCCGCACGACAGCACGGCGACUGCGAAAUUGAUUUUCGAUAGUUUCGAGCGAAGCAAUAAUAGCAUAUUGCGCUACGCGAUUCGGCGAGACGCGGAAAAAAUAUCGAUACGGACUUGUCUGGUUCAACCGAAUUCCGGGCGAAAGAGUAGACGGGUCCGAUAAAUAUAGGAAUGGACGGUUUUUUUUCCUUUCUCCGAAACGAUUUCGGAAAGCCGACUCGUCUCGUUGCCGAACCCUAGUCCUUUGAAUUGACUCGAAACGCGUACUUUGUAAAAAAAAAAAAAAAAACGAAAAACCAACAUCGCCAUUUUCAGUCGUAAUGCUCCGGACGCAAAUAUUUCCCGUCGCCGUUCGAUCGAAACACGCUGCAAAAUACGUUCGUAAAUCGACGCCCGUAACGUCCGUACGGUUUUAUACCGGUUUCAAUGAUCAGUAUAAUAACACCUAUAAUAACCGUGUAACGCUUUAAUAGAUAUUGCCUUUAUCUUCACCGGUGUAAGAGAACCUAAUGAGUUCUGCCGGUGUAAUAUUACUCGUGUGUUAUACGAACCGUCCGCUAAUUAAUAUAUUUAUUCUUUUUCUGCCGCGAAACCCGAACAUAUUUCUAUAUGUUACUACGUUCUAUUGCCUCUUAAAAUAAUUGAUAUUACGCAUUUCACAUAAAAUUCCUCUCUUGUACCUAUACAUAUACAUAUAUAUAUAUAUAUACAAUAUACACACACGUGUAUAAUUUGAUACAACUGUGUAUAUGCUUGUAUAUGCUCAAUGGAUUAUUCCGAGUCGUUUAAUAUCCACUUUUAAUCGAUAGCGUACGGAUAAAUACGUUUUUAUUAAAAUUGAUUUUUUUUUUUUAAUAAAAAUCGUGCUGAUAAUUCUUUGUUAUUGGCCCCUGUUCAAAGUUUAAUCAAAGAUUCUCUUCGAAUCUAAUAAAUUACUUCGUUUUACCUACUGCCAAGAAGUCUUACAUUAAUAAUUAAAUAAACAUCUUGUAUGGUGUCCGUAAAUAUAUUAUAAAUAAAUAUUAUUAUUAAAAUAAUAUAUUUGUAAAUAUUAUUGUAAAUACUUAGCGAAAUCGUUCACGGUGGUUGUUGUCUAUUUCGUUGAAUUUCGUCACCGUAAUACCGUGAAUAUUAUAUUUGUCACGCGAUAUUGAACGUCAUAAACUGUUUUCCACUUCGUAAAACGGAUAUCGACCUUGUACUAUAGUAUACUGUGAAGUAAAUAAUAACGGCUAUUUUUCUUCUCGACGAAACGUACGGCCAACUGUUUUCAAAAAAUGUGAAGUUUUUUCACGGUCUGGUUACGUUGACUUUUUGAUUCGUAUUUAAAAGUACUAAAACACGAAAAUCGAUAAUUUACAUUGUAUAAACUACGGACAUACUAUGCACGUAGGUGCAGACACUGUUGUAGAUGGAAAGUUGGAAAGGUAGAGCACAGAAAGGAAUUUAAUGUAUAUCUGUAAACAACGAUAAACUAUAUUGCCAACGGAAAAACGAUUCUGAGUGGAGCUAUGUUAAUAGUGUCAACAAUAUAUGUAUAUAUGUCAUAUUAUGGUAACGUAAUUAAAUAGGCAUUAAAUAUUUCCUUUAAUAAUAUUUGUUUAAUGUUGUACCGAUUUUUCCGUUUUUCCUACGUUUUUCCCAUGUUCUUUCGUGGUUUUUCACAUUUUCCGGGAAAACUCUUGGGAAAAUCAAAAAAUGAUUUCCAUUCAGAAAAAGUGUUAUUAGUGUAAAUUGGAGAAAAUUGCUUGUAGAAAAGUUGUCCAUAACAAAAAAAAACAAAUCGUAAUAUUUUACUAAUAUAUUUCGUACAUUUUCCCGUUUUUUUUUUCGGUUUUUCGCACUUGAUGAGAAAAUUGAAAAAUGACUUCCCUAAAGUACCACCCUAAAGAAAUUUCCUUUCAGAAAAUGGUCUACAUCGUAGAACGUGUUCACAUAAAAAAAAAAAAAAAAUAAUUAAUAUUGAUAUAAAUAAAUGAUCACCCUCCUCAUAUUUCGUUGAAAAUUAUUGUUGACGAUAUGCGUAAUUUUCGUAGACUUUGCUAAAUUAUUUGUUUUGGAACGAUUUCGUUAAUGAACGCGACAUAAUAUUAUAGAACGUAAGCAAAUACUUCCCCUUUAAUUGUGUUCCGUCCGUAGAGUUACUACAGUAAGUGCACACGGCGCCGAUUGUUGAUCUGGUUGUCAAGAAGUUACAUAACAUUAUUUGUCGUAACACUAUUAUUAUUAUAAACUACUAUAUAAAUGUCCCGCACGGUUUUGUCCGUGUCGGUAUUGAACGGCGUAAAAAUAAAAACUUUGAUCCGCGUUUGUAUUUGUCCGUGUUGUUCGUUUUAUUUUAUCCGUGGCACUAAGGUAAUCCACGGAUAAUUCGAUUUUUGGACCAAUAAUACCAAUGGCCCUGUACCAGCCACCCUUCAGAUGGUUGAUUACGGAGAAAAAAAAAUUAGCUUUUCAAUGUUUAUUCCCGAUCUAGAACUAUACAUCUUUACAACGUUUUAGCUUAAUCCGUUGGGUAGUUUCGGGGUGAACGGAUGGCAAACGUUCGUGUUUAAUAUACCGCGUUCGACGGAUUUUUUUAGCGCUGUUAAUAUUGAAUUCUUUUCGUUUUUUUUUUUUUUUUUUAAUCGGUUUUUCUUCGACGGAUUUGAAAAAAUUGAAUUUUUAUUUUCAUCCUCUAAACACACACACACACACACACACAAAACAACUUUUUAUUCAUUCACUUAUACAUUUAAUUCGUGAUUUAUUUUCAUUACGUUCAAGUUCGUCCCGUUAUUUCAAUUACUUAUGGCCGAUGUUAUGGUGAAAUCACGUCUAGUUCUGAUAACUGCGACGUGGCUUGGUCAUGUAUAUACAAGGCGUAGGUAUAGAGUAGGUAUAGUAUGGUAUUUAAAUUAGUUUACCCGCUUUAAACUUUUAUCUCGCCGCGAAACUGUAAUAAUGACAAUUAUUCAUUAUACAAAUAAUAAUACAAGGUAUAGGAAUGAGUGUUAUAGGUAGAUUUACUUACGUCCUCGCUGGUCAAAAUAUUUAUGAACAAGUCAAGGUUUUUAACCGAUGGUUAUUUAAGGUUUUUAACCGAUGGUUAUUUGUGUGCACAUAGAAUAAUAAUAAUAAUAAUAAUAAUAAUAAUAAUAUUAUUAAUACGGAUUUAGGCCAAAGAUUUAUAAGAUACUCGAUAUUUUUUUUUUUUUUUUUUCGUAUAAAUUCAUCCGUAUACUUUACUGCAACAUUGUUUCGGAACAGGUUUCUUUGAUUCGUUGUACUUUUACAUAUAUAUAUAUAUAUAUACAUGUAUCUCAAAAACAAAGGAAUCCGGUCUAUAAAGAAACUGAAAAUAAUAAAAUCUUUUUCUCGUCUUAUAUCGCACCUAAUUAUUUCCAAAUAAAAUGAAACGCCGCAACAGCAAACAGCAGCAGCAGCAGCAGCAGCAUCAGUGUCUCAAGGACACGCAACAACAAUAUAAUUUUAUUGAAUAGACCGCAUUGGGACACGCGCAGUCUCGACAGAAAUUGUACAGAAUUGUUUACAUUAUUGCGAUUUUUCUAUACCUACCUGAGAACAUUAUGCAGAGAUCUCGAUUUAUGUUUACACAAUAUAAUUAAUUCUGGUUAAACGAAAUACCGGUGUUGAAAGGGUAAAACUAUGAGUGCGUAUGAUUAUUAACAACAAAUUAUAGAUGGAAAAUUGCGCAUUGUUAGUUACAACGACAAAUGCCGUUUGUAUAAUAUAGUUAUAUCACGGUAUAUAAACGAGGAUUGGCAAAAUGGUUAUACGUAAUUUAUUUGAAAAACAUAACGCGAAUAUGAAGGGCUCAGCAACAAGGCGAGUCGAUUUUUCGAAAUUGCUUACGGAAGAGAAUAAAAAAACCGUCUCUCCUCGUAGAAUUGUCUUCUGUUCGCCCAUAGUUUGGUCGAACCGGACAAAGUCUUCAUUACUAUUUAUUCCGCAUCUGGUUGACGCACUUUCAUUAUCGGUGCACCGAAUUAUGUAAAGCAUUUAUUGUUUUACUCGAAACUAUCAGCAAUCCAUUUUCGACUCAGCUUGUGUUUUUCACUGAGCCCUACAAUUGGUUUAAAUUGGUUUUGAACGCAGGCGUUAAUGCAAACGAAACGAAUUUCUUUAUGGAAAUGCAUUUUGAGUAUACGGAUAGUGAAUACGAUACACAUCCGCGUCAAUCGGCAAUAAUCAGAGCCUGUUAAAAUAAUCCAUAAAAAUAAUACUUAAAUCAAGACUUUAAAUAAGAAACAAAAAGUAAUAUUAAUUAGAAUUAAUUAAUAUUUAUUAGAAAAUAAAUAGGUAACGUACAUAUGUAUAUUAGUGAAAACUCACACCCCUGGUUUCGCCGCGAUCGGAUAAAAAUUGCAAUAAUAUUAAUUAAAACGUAUGCAUUUUAUAUUUCAUUAAAAAAAAAUACAUUUAUGUUUAUAGAGUGAUUCGCUAAGCGUGCUCGACCCAUUUUUUUUUUUUGGUUACAAUUUGCAUAUAUUCGAAUUCUGAUUUUCGGAACUUUCAAGUGUAGUUAAAGGUUCACUAUUCUCCAACUACCUGAACUUAAAAAUUAAAUAUCUCGUCAACGGGUUGAUGGAAAUGAAAAGUGUUGAUCCAAAAUUUAUUUUAAGUAAUACUCUGUCUAUCUAUGGAAUUUUUAAUCGACAUUCUCAUUUGAAAAACCAAAAAUGGUAUCGCCACAGGAUACUCUUUGAAUGUUAUGAAAAAUCUAGGCAUUCGAAAAUAUCGGCUUUAAAUACACUGGAAAAUGUCAAAAAUCGGAAUGUAUUGCAGAUUAUAAAUAAUCUAUAUGCAAAAUUUAACCCGACAAAUGGGUCGAGUACGCUGAGUGAAUCGUCCUGUAUAUAUAUAAACGAAAUGGACAUUUUUUUUUCCAAGCCUACAGAAUAUUAUAGCGAACGUUAUAAUAAACAGUGACGAAUGUUACUGUUUUUCACGUGGGUAGUUAUAAACCCUGAAUAUUAUAUAGUUCCCAUAAAUUAUUUUUAUUAAUGCUGUUUCGAUAUAAUCAAAACGAUUAAGCAGUUAUGUAAUACCUAUAGUAUAAAUGCAUACCCAUAAAACUAACAUUAAUAACUGCAGAAUAUAAAAUAAACUCGUUAUCUUUGUUUUUUUUUUUUUUUUGUUUUUGUCGCGUCUCCUUAUAAUACUGUUACAUUCGGUGUUUUAAUACGAAAUAUUUCAGUGAUGAAGACGACUUUAAUGCGCGGGAAAAUCCCUAUAAAAAUUUCGCAUGAAUAUUUUAAAGAAUUUUUUUUAUUUGUUUAAUUUAUUAAGAAUGUUAAACAUUAUUUUAUGUAUCGGUAUGUUAGCAUGUUAUUAAUUUUUGGGCAAAUUUACAUAUCAUAACGUUUAAUUUAAAAUGCACCGUAUCGAUCGUUCGUUUGUUCGUAUUUUAGACUCUGAGUGGAGCGUAUUGGUUUUACAAUGUUUAUUUUAUUUUAUUUUUUUCUAUUUUUUUUAUUUAUAUUUUUUAUUCCAAUUUACAUUGAUAGCACUUUUUCUGAAAUGAAAUCUGACUUGGGUGGUAUUUUAGGCAUGUAAAUAUGUCAUUUUUUGAUUUUCCCAGAAGUUUUUCCAAUAAAUGGGAAAAACCGAGAAAAAUCGUAGGGAAAACGGGAAAACAGGUACAAUAUUGAACAAAUAUUAUUAAAGUAAAUGUUUAAUGCAAAUACAAUGAUUUUACCAUAAUAUGACAAUAUAUAUUAUUGAAAAAGCAACACUAUCAACCGAACUCCACUCAGAAUCGUUUUUACGUAUAAUACUAUUAUGGUUAAGAUUUUAUGGAUAUGUAACCGAGUCGGCCAUAGCGAAUAAUGCUAAUCGUGAAGAAAAUAUCAAUCAAAUGUCAGCAGAAUUGUUAUUCGUUUUAUUUUUAUUUAAAUCAAAUAGUAAUAGCAACAAUUAACGAUAAAUCAUUAUACACACGUAAUGAAAAGUCAAUAACAUCUUACGUUAUAAAUUUUGCAUUGGCUGGCUAUAGGUUAUAACACUGUACUUUAUAAAUUCGUACACGGCAAUAAACGUGUUUUAAAUUCAUAAUUAUUUACAAAAAAAAAAAAAAAAAAAAUUACAGACAAUUAUUACGAUGUUUAAACGCCGUGGAGUUAAAUUUCGAAACCUGUUGGUGUAACGGAACGGUUUAUUUCAAACGCAGCCACAACUGUAGUCUAAUAUUAUUAGUUUAUAUAUUACAGUAUAAUUAUUUUGCAUGAAGAACGGUUGGACUACCCGAAUCGUAACGCGUUGGUGCAAUAGUUCUACGUGUAACAAGUUCGGCAGGAACGUCAAACCAAAAAUAGCCCAGGUACGUUUGAGCACCAACAAGUUUAAUAAUCAAUACAUAUAUAUUAUGGUAAUUAUUUGAAGUAUAUCGAAAUUAAUUAUUGAUUGGGUGCAUAUAUUAUAACUUAGCUGUAGUGCCCAAACACGUUAUUAGGAAUAUUAGUAUUGGCGACCAAUUCGAAUGUUGCAAAUAAAAAAAAUUGACGUUCAUACGAAUUACGACUUUUUGAAGUAAAAAUUAGGUUCUGUGCCAAUAAUACGAAUCGCGUCCAAUAUUUGAUGCGCAUUAUGGUAGGUGUUUAAAUCUGUUCAGAUUUGUAUUAACAGUAUAGGUACGUUUCCAAUACAAAAUGACAAGUGCAAUAAUAUUAUUUCGUUCGUUUCUUUGUUUACGUACAUUUCGAAAAUAAUAAAUUGUGUUACUAAAACCAGCGUCCGCAGAAUUUUUUCCCAGGGGAGGGGACAAGGGCAAUAAAAAAAAAAAAAAUAUAUGACGAUUUUUAGUCAAUCGCCCUUUCUCAUACCUUCGUUUCAGACAGAAUACAAAAUUGCGAGGUGAUUGCAGUCUACCCCAACCUUCAAGACGCCCACGAAUAAAAGAUAAUAUAAUAAUAUUAUAUUUAUAAUAAUUAAUAAUAAUAUACCUUUAGGACUUGGUUGUUUUUUGCAGGAGUCUAGACAAUAAAAAAUAUAAUACUCAUUAAUUUAGGAUUUGUAUCGAUUAUGUUUGGUUUUUGAAUACCAUUUUUUAACGAUCUCUAGAAUAGCAAGACUGGUCAUUAAUGAGUUUAAAAGUUAAUAAUUAAAAUUAACGUUAAAUUUAAAGUUAUGUGUUAAUAUUAACUUUUAAUUAAAUCUAUUUUGUGUGCAUUAACUUUAUAAAUAAUGGGGUUAAUUUGAAUUACAUUAAGUUAAUUUAAAUUAUUAUUUUUUAAUUACACAAUAUUAAAUUUUAUCAUCUAGAUGUUGAUUCAAUAGGUGCCACCAUCGUAUAAAUUAUAAUUUUUUAAUUAUUUUUGCUUGAUAAUAUGUGCGCGGUAGUUAAGAAUUUAAAAUAAAUAUGUAUAAUCGUAUGUUCCCAAAAUAAUGUUUAGCAUUGAUGAUAUAUACUUGAAAAAAAAAAUUAAAAAAAAAAUGCCCAACACCAGGAAUAACCAGGUAUUUUUACUACAAAAAUAAAAAUUGUAAAACAAAUCAAAAAAAAAAAAAAUACAAAAAACAGUAAAAUAAGUUCAAGUUAAAAAGUAAUUACAAUUUCAAACUAAAUUUCAACUUAAUAAAGUUCAUUGAUACAACAAUUGACUUUUACCAUAUGAACUCGUUCAUUCUUUUUCAUUAAACUUAAUUAAUGUUGUUCAUUAAUUAUUUAUCUAGCCUUGUCGAACAUUAUAUCCAAUUGUUAGCAUUCUAUAAUUUGAUACGUGUAAAUGAGUAUAAUUAUUCAUUGCGUUCUAUAACUCCUGUUUUCCGUAAGAACUCUGAACGAGUUCCUUACACGCAUUAAAUCAGUUUAUUAGCGAACAAAAUUACUAUUACAAUAUAAUGUAAACAUCAUAAACAACCUGAAAUUUAUUUGUACUAAAACCAAACUUGUCAAAACGUUCAUAAUAUUGUAAUAUCACGUGCCCAUUACACUGAAACCUUCGAAUACGCGGAUUCAACGAAUAUUCGACGAAUUAUCAUUGUGAUUUAUAAUAUUUUCUUCAUUAAUUUCGUUAAUUCACAAAUAAACACUUUUACAACCUUGUUUGUCGCGGAACCGGUUAAAAAACGUUUACCUAUAAACAUGACGGAAAAUUUACCGUGUGUGUAGGUAUUUGUUUAUUUGAAUGCGAGAACAUUCGUCGCUGCGAUUGUUUUGAAAAAUUGACCGAAGACGACGGAAUAACGAAUUGCCGACAAAUAUCACGUGUACUAUUCCUGUAUUCCUCGCAUAUUUUGACUAUAUUAUUAUUAUAUAUAGUGAUAAGUGUGCGAAGGUCUUUUACACUCUUGAAAGGGGUGUAGUGGUGGAUUUUCAAUAUUUUUAUGGGAGAGGUCCUGAAAAUUAUUUUAUAAGAAGUCAUUUUAUUGAAAUUUUAUCGGUGUCUGGAGGGAUUAUAGAACCGUCAGAAACCCUCAGACCCUCUUUACAUCCGUCACUAAGAGGGAACAGCGAUAUUUGAAAUAAAUCUAUACACCGAAAUUAAGGAUGGACGUUGGACGUUAUGACAUAUUAAAACAUAUAUUUUUCGCUUCACCGAUUUCCUUAAAAAGUUUUCGAUUCAUACGGUUAGGUAAAAAAAAAUCUCUCAGUAUCACUCAGUAUCGUAUUUCAUUAACAAUGAUUUAUCGUUACAUACAGAUAGAAUUUAAUAAACUCUAUAUAGUAUCCAAUCUUUCCAGUUUUAAAUAAUAAUACUUAAUACAUUUCGUAAAUUUUCCCGUUUAUCCUACGUUUUUUACCUGGAUUUUUCCAUUUAUAAUUAAAACUCCCGGGAAAAAAAUGAAAAAUCAUCAGCCUAAAGUACCACCCAGAUAAAAUUUCCUUUCAGAAAAGGCACUGCACUUUAAAAUCGGAGCAAAAUUUUUGAUAGAGUGGUUGUUCACAGAAAAAAAAAAAACCAAUCGCUCCGCUCAGAAACUAAAUAAAACGUAGAUUGAUUCCGAACGAAGCUAUAUAAGGUCAAAAGGGUCCAUAAGCCAAAAUAGAUCUUUUAAUAUAACUAUCAUUGAUAUUUUCAUUAAAAUGAAUUUUAUCAGUUGGAUAUUUAUACUUUAAAUCCAAUUAUAUUAUACUUAAAAUCAAAAAACAAAAAUCAAAAUGAUAUUAUACUGAAUAAUUUAAUUUAUAUUUACCUAUGACACUUGUAUAAGUUAUUUUUUCAACAUCAGUAACAAAAACUACUUCAAUAUAAAUAACAGAUUCCCGAAAAAAAGUCCCAACAAGUAAUGUUGUAUGAGUAUGAUGGCUACCUACAUUGAUGGCUUUUACAUUAAUUAUUAUUGUUCAAAACAUACCUUUAACAGAUUCAGUGUUUAGAUUUGCAUUAGAUGUUUCUGAAUCGGGUAAUUGUGGCCGUAUAAAAUUAUCCAAUGACUCUUUUAAUUUUUAAAGUUCUUCUUAUCUUUUUUGAACUUGAAUUUUCGUUUUUGAACCCCACUCAAAUAUUGCCUUGAGACCAUUUAGUUUUUAAUGACAAAAACAGAUUAAGUUUCAAUAUAAAGAAAUAGAUGUUUUCAAUAAACAUAAAACUAAAAACAUGUAGACAGAAAGGCAGCUAUAACCAAUAAGUGAUAAACUAAUACAGUAAUAUCAAUUAUUAUCAAUGUUAAUUCCCAAUAUUAUCGUCAGAUAUCAAUACGAUAAUUCUAUGACGUAUAUUGCCAUGACUUACGCAGCACACACAGUAACAUAAUUAUGUAUGAUAAUAUAAGAAGUUUCUAUUAUAGUCUAUACUCAAAUACUCUAUACCCGCAUUCCGGUACCCGCACGGGUCACACUGUAUGACUGUGUAUGGCUAUAAUACGCCUAUACGGUACACGGGUUUCUCGCAUUUGGUAUAUUGGACGCUCCUAAUAUUCGAAUUCUCUAGACUCAGACGAGUAAAGACAUUGUUAUAUAUUUGUUAUUUUUAUAUCAAAACAAAUAAUACAACACGUGUAAUGCGUAUAUUACAGAUUAUAGUAGGAAUAACAUUUAAGAGAUUUCGGGAGUCGACGAGGCCCCCCCCCCACGAAAACCGGGGACCUCUGUGAAUCGCACACCCAACACUCCCGAUAAUUGCGCCACUGGGUGUGGUGUCGGAUUAUUUUUAUUUGUAAAACCGUUACACCCAGCGAUUUCUCAUCUCGCGGUCGUAAUAAUGUCCGUUGAAAUAACGCGUAUAGUUUUUUUUUUUUCGCCGCGCUUUAAUCAUGCCGGACACUUGAAUUUCGGCGCGAGACGUCGUCGUGUAAUAUGCAAAUGUCGAACGUCCGCUGACCGUUACGGGUGUAAAAAUACUGCAAUUAUUGCAUCGUUUCCGCGGCCCGGAACCGUUAUAAUAUAUCGGGUAUGGUAAAAAAAAAAAAAAAAAUUUUAAAACGACGAUUUAUUAUUACGGUGUGACGGUCCGGACGACAACGGCGGCUACAUAACGAUAUUAUAAUAUCGCGCGGCUCGGGUACUAUUAUAUUGUGCACAUAAUACGAAUACGAGUUGUUGUAACGCCGUAUCGUUUUCCAGACGACCGAGAACCAGUAUCGGGACGUUUCGAUAUCGCGUACGGCGUGUAAACUGUUAUUAUUGCGUUGUUAUUAUAUUGCUUUUUUUUUUUUUUUUCCCCAUUGUUCGCGCGGCGAUCGCGACCCGUCUUCGGCUGACCACGUCACAACAACGGGGGCCGCGCACCAGCUGCAAAUACCGGCGGCACGGAGGAACCGCCGAGAGGUCCGGAAGGGUUGGACGUCGCGUACGUCUAGUAAAUAGCGAUAAUCGUGAGAAAAACUGCGCGGCGGCGCCGAGCGAAAAAAAAGAAUACGAAUAAAUACGAAUAAUAAUAAUAAUAAAUAAAAAAAAAAAAAAAAAAACCGUGGCGAUUUUGUCGUCAUCGGCCGCGGCGGUUCGUCUCCAAUACGUGUACAAUAUUAUAACAGCGAUAAUCGAGCGCAUCACACGCGCACCUAACCGACGGGGUGGGACACAAUGGUGUCCGAGCAUUAUACGCGUGUAUUGUGCAUUGUGUUUUUUCCGAAAUCCGGUUUCCCCCCCCCCAUCCCUCGAAGAGAAGACGGCCGUGCUGGCCGUAAUGCCGUAACGCCGUGCAGAGGCGUCCAUUUUCCGUCUGCCGCGGGAACCCUCCCCGUUUAGGGACGGGCCGGCGGUUUUUAUUCGCUCCUUGUUUUCAUUUCUUUUUUUUUUUUUCCCCCCGGCACUUCUUUCGCCGGUUUUCGCCAACCCGUUUUCGGCGGCGGGGUUGUGCAAAGUCUCGAGAGAAAAACGUUACGUUUUUAUGCGCUAUAAUAACGUACGCCGCAGCGAGCCGAGAAGACGUCUAGGAAACGGCGCAUCUAUUGUAACGGGUUUCGCAAUCUCCGCCGUGCGUUUUUUAACAGCGGCGGUUUAUUUAUUUGCGUUUCGUUUUUAUUUCUUUGUGUAUAAUAUAUUAUGCCGGGUAUAUUAUGCGCGUACCGUGUAGUCUCACUCGAACGGUAAUCGAACGGAGAACGGAGAACGGACAAAAAAAACCCCUCGACAAAAAAAAUAAAUAAAAAAAAAAUACCGGUAUUCCGCGCGACGGACUACCGGACUCUCCGGCACGAACGAUGAGAUACCGGGCCGUCGAGAAAUUCGGUUAAUUAACGACCGUCCGCUGAGGUUUCUUUUCGUAUUGCGGCGACGCGUUAUCAUCCAUCAUCGCGACGACCAAAUAAGUAUCCGCCCGCGAUGAACUAUACGUCUCAUGAAUAAAAUAUAUUAUCGUUAUGCUUGUGGGCCCGAUCAUUCGGGUCAGUCGUUUUGAGAUUUUUCGUUUUAUUUUAUUUUUUUUUAACCGUUCACGAUCCCGUAUCAGUACAAAUACGCGGAGAUUUCGUAAUUCCGCAAUCCUGCGAGAACGCGUCUCGUUAAAGUUCUAUUAUCCCCCACCCCCGUACCCUGGCACGCGUAUAUUGUAUUGCAGCGUACGAUACACGCACCGGCGUACAAUAAUCUUCGAGUUGAUAAAAAAAAAAAAAACAAACAAAAUCGCGAGUAUUUUUUCCCCUCCCUAUGACAUUUUUUCGAAAACGGCCGCCGUAGUCUGCGCAAAUACUAUAUGUAGGUAUUUAUUAUACGUACGAUGGCGCUGACUGUUCCGUUUCCGCAGCUUAUAAACAAAUCCUUAACGAUAACACAUGAAACGAUCGGCCGUACCAAGAGAUCCAGCUGUGUAAACGGGUCGUGAUAAAAUUUCGAAAAUUAUCGCGAAAAUUCGCGCUGCCUAAUUUGUCGGUAGAAACGAAAAAUAUUGAUGAUAUCAUAAAUAAUCAACCCAUCGACUUACGUCACUUAAACCAGUGGUGUCUCGUCGCAAAUGAAACUAAUUUUUACAGAAAUUUUAGGAAAAAUAAUAAUUUUAGUAUGAAACGAUACAUCGAGGACGAGAAGUUUUUUAAUAUGUAUUAUAGAAUCUAAACGUUAAACAGAAGUGCAAAAUAUUUCUUCGCUUUUAAAGUAGUGCGUUUUAAAUUUUUUGUAAAAUCGAGAAAUAAAUCGUACAUUGAUUAUCAAUAGCUAAACUUUUAACGGCUGAAUCUCGUCGGACAAUUUUUGAGAUGUAUCCGCCAAAGUUGCUCGGAAAAAAACAAAUCAAUAAUCGAAUCUGCAUACUGCUUAAUAGAAAUAGAAGUUUCCAUUCGAGAAAAUAUGAUCAAAACUUCCUUGCUUCCUAAAUAAACCCCAAUUAAAUAUAAAUAUACCCGACUCUAAGUAAAUUUUACGAUACUUUAGAUUAGCUACCGAAUUUUUUUUUUUUCGAUCGAACAUUUUUUUAUCCAGAAAAUCUAUAAAAUAUAUUGGAAAACUAUUCGGAUAGUUUUUCCCGUAAUUGAUGAACAGUUUUCGAUCUGUUGGAUAGCCCGACAUGAUAAAUAACUACUCGUAGUCGUGCUCGUCACUACAGAUUUUACUAGAGCUCCCUAUUUCACGAGCACACGUUUUCACGUAUUUACGCGAAUCUCAAAAACCGUGUACUGAACAAAUCCUUCAUCUUCGGAGGGGAAUCGUAAAUUUCUAAAGGGGUAUGUCAAAGGCGGAGACCGGAUCUAGACGUUUUAUACUUGGGGAAAAAAUUAAGAAAAUAUUCUCAAUAAUGACUUUUCUGAGCUCGCUAAAAUACGGUUAUUUAUACGUAUAACGCAAUAUUUUUUAGAUUUUGAGUGGAACGAAGAAGCUUAUGGUGUUUAUUUUUUGCAACUUUUCUUCCAGAAGACUUGCUCAGAUUUUUAAAUGUAACACUUUUUCUGAAAGGAAAACGGUGUGAAGAGGUCAUUUUUCGAUUUUCUCAGCAAAUGUUAAAAACCGGGAUAAAACACGAGAAAACCGGGAAAAACGUAGAAGAACUGGAAAAAUCGGUACAACUCGAAACAAAUAUUAUUAAAGAAAAUGUAUAAAGCCUAUUUAAUUAUUUUUUACUAUAAAAUUACAUAUAUAUUAUUUAAAAAUGAUUGCUAUCAACUGAACUCCUCUCAGAAUCGUUGUUUCGUAAUUGUUUGUAACAAUGGCUGCACCCCCCUCAUUAUCCCAGGACGUCCUUUUUAAAUUUUAUUGUUAACGAGAUGACUUGUAAUCGGCCCAUAAUUAUUCAUUUCAUGUAUUAUUAUAUCACUUCGUGCGUAGUUUACAAAGUGUAAUAUCAUACAUUUUCAGGGGGUGGUAAUACCACCAUCCCCUCGGUCACCUCCCUGAAAUAAACACUGGGUAUACCUAUGUGAGUAUACGUAUACGUUUUUCAUUAGUAGAUUUUUAACGAAUUCAUUUUUACGGACUUUAAAACGACAAGUUAUUUCGCCGAGUUUCGAAUUUUUAUCAUUGAUAACAUCAGUUUUAUUCGUGUUUUAUUAUAUGCGCAUCGUAAUAAAUUUAUAAUACGCAUCGUUUCUCGUAAUCUACGAUAUAUAAUAUCAAUGUACUAAAAUGCACUCCGAUGAAUUAUUAAUUUAUAAUAAUAAUAAAUCGACGAUACCGUUGGUUUUUUUCUUGCCGUAUCGGGUUUUUUUUUUUUAUUUUUACAGUGGCGUUAAUAUAGAGACCGAAUAUUUUAUUAAUCCACGUAUUAUCGGCCCGUCAUUAUGUAAAUAUUUCGUUAAUUUAUUAACCAAGAUUCGUGUUUUACGUGUUCUUUAUAUGUUUUUGAAACAAGUAUAAAAUCGAUAAUAAUAUACCGUCAUUAAUGAUCAUAUCGUUUUUGUACAUUAAUACUUGACAAACGGAAACAAAUAUAAACGUAAAAAAAAAAAUCUCCGUGGAUUUUGCGUUUUCGUGAAAUAGAUACGAAAAAAAAACAAAAAUCAAUAAUUAUUAUACGUACGGCACGUGUUUAAGACGAGAAAUAUUAACCGGUUUUCAUAUAAUUCUACAACACUAUAAAAAAAAAAAAAAAAAAAAAAUAGACACCCAACUAUAUCUAUUUUAUAAUAUAGUUGCGCCUUCGAUAAUCUGUGAUAAUAUUAUUCCGCGUUUAGUUUUUAUUUUUCAUCAUAAAAUAAUCGUAUGCGAUAUUUUUUAUUAUAAUGUUAUUAUUAUUGAAAAAUUAAUAACACUUAAUAAAAAAUCGCAUUUCCCGGUUUUUUUUAAAAUAUUUUUUUUCGUUAUCUCCGGGUUCCGUACAAAUUUAUCGUCUUGAAGACGGGUCAACAGAAUGUUUACUUGCUCGCCUAGGGGCCGCGUUAUAUAAGCGCCCGUUAUAGUAUACUAUUUAAGUGCUGCGAAUUUUUUUAUACUUUUAAUAUUCUGGUUUUUAGGUUUCUUUUUUUGUUUGUUUUUUAAGUAAUAUACAAUGUAUAUAAAUAAAUAUUAUACACUGCGCUUAGUGCCCAAUUAUUAUUGACUGGUGUAUAAAAUAUUUAUAAUCGACUAAAAUGUAAUGCGAAUACACUAUUAUACUAAACUAUAUAUUAAUAUUAUAAUGCUCAGUCAAUAUUCUAAUGUUACGUGACAAAAACGAUUUUCGUUAAAAAGUGGCCGAGUGGAUAUUAUACACAGGUACUCUAUCUGUAAAAAAAAACAACACGUAUUGCUAUAGAAAAUUGUAUGUUUUAGAUAUAUGAAUGGAGAAACGAGUGUAUUGGUUCUACAAUGAUGUUUAUUUUUUUUAUAUGAACACUUUUUCUACCAGAGAGUAUACUUCGAUUAUCAAGUAUAGCACUUUUUCUACAAGGAAAUGUUCUCUGGGUGGUACUUUAUGGAGGUCAUUUUUAGAAACUCUCAUUAAUAUUCGAGAAAAUGAGGAAAACCUCGGUCUUUAGGUUAAAAAAAAAAAAUUGAAAGACUAAAAAUAAGAUUAUUAUUGGCAACCGUUUUUAUUUAUUUAUUUUUAUUAUUAAUUUUUUUUAAACACUCAUUGUUGUCAUGGAAAUGCACAUUGUUGUAAUCAUUUUACCAUAAUAUGAUAUAUACCAUAUAUUGUAUUGUUGACAAAGCAACACUAUCAACUGAAAUCUGUUCAGAAUCGUUUUCGUUAGUUUUCGUUGUAUCCUAUCUUCCCGAACUUCUCAUCUACAACAGUGGUUGCACCCACGUACGAAGUAUGUCUGUCUCUUUUCUUUUUCUAAUAUUUUUUUAGUAUUAACAUAUUUUCAGAUACUGAGCGGCAAGGAACGCUCCAGUAUAUUGGGUUUUACAAUUAUAAUUUUUUUUUUCUUUUGGUCCGUAAAUAACUUUUUUUACCAGAUACCGUCAUCGAGUUUCAGUUGUAGUCUACACGCAUGGAUUACGCACAAAACAAGUAAGGAAUUCAAAAUUUUAAAACCAUUUUCAAAUUCACUGUGUCAAGUUGUAUUCGAAUAUUCAGAGUUAUUUUUUUUUUUUUAGUUUUACGUUCGAUAAUAUGUUUUUGGUUUCUCAAAAACGCUCGACAUUUCGACACAAGAUUUUUUCUAUACGGUGUAACAAUAUAGAUAAUUUUUCAUUGGGGUGGGGGUGGAGGGGUUAAAUAAACGUUUAAAGUUGACAUUUUCACGAAAAUUGUAAAGAAUCACGGAAUUCCGCGUACCAAUUAUAUUUUCCAAUCGAUGUGGACGAUGCUUUGUCGGCUCCAUAAAAUUGUUCAAAAAUUUGAAACGGAAAUACGCGAACAAUCGUGACUUUUUGGUAAUAGUUUUACCUAACUCACACACGUUUAACCAAACUUCAGAAUCACUAGAAUCCUUAAUUCCUAAGAAAAAAAGAGCGUACCUUUUUUUUUUUUUCACUAUAUUCCUGGCGUCACGUAUUAUAAUUUUGUUAAUAUUGUACAAUUUAUUGAAUCGUCUGGCAAGCACCAUUUAUAUUAAAUAUCCAUUUAAUAUUAUCGCGUAUUUUUCACGAUGUUACGUGCGACGUAAAAUACGCAUCAAAUACGAAAUUACACUGUACUGAGUUACUAAGUAAUUAUACAUUCUAGGAUUUUGUUUCCGAUGCGUGGUAUGAUUAUUAUAGCGAAAUCUUACUCCCAGUGUAUAAUUUUAAGUCUGAGGGUAUGAUUAUGAUAGGAUUAUCUUAUUGCCGGGGAGUAAUGAUUUUCUCUGGUAUUAAAAUCCUUUGCACUCCUUUACGUGAAAGGCUACCGUAAAAUGGGCGGAGCGUGUUUGGACUAGGAACGUUUAGGCCACUAAUACAAAUGCAAACCUUGUAUGAAAAAGGAUUCGAUCAACCCGUUUAGACAAUAAUUUUAUGCUCGUCAAUUAUAUUUAUAAAUUACCAUAAAAGCGUUCAGUAAAAAACUGUUGACACUAAUUUGCUAACUGAAUAAUAAGUAAAUAGUUUAGGCCUACGUUUAAUUGCAGCGAGUCAAUUUUAUUUUAAAGUUUACCAAAUUCUCACGAUUAUCGAAACCCAUCAUUCUGAAAUGUCGUUUUGGAAUCCGCUUCGCGGCCGGACGUCACACGCGCCCGACAGCCUGAAUUAUCGUAUCUGAACACGGUAUACUACCUGAUCUGAGACGACCCAACUUACGGUCUUAACCGCUAUAACCUGUACAAUUAAAUUAUAUUUAAUACGUAUAGUCCGCCACCGCGGCCGUCGGACGCGGAAUAGGACCAGGAGAACGAAACAGAAAAAAACAAAAAAAACAAAAACAAAAACGGAAAAAGGGAGAUCGCCAAAACAAUUAAUAAUAAACUAACAUUGUUGAAACGCGCCGCGAUAAUCAGUACCGUUUAAAAAAACAAUUCGGCGCCCUCUAUUAGACACACCGCGGUAAUUCGAUUGUUCCGGCGGCGGACAGAAGUCGUUUCAUACGCUAUAACAAUCGUAUAAUAUAAUUAUCAUUUUAUCGCACGUGUCCCGGGAUCGGUAUUUUCAUUAUUAUUUUAUUUUAUUUUUUUUAACAAUGAAUUACCUACACCGGAACGGCGGCGACGCGACGAUACGUCAAACCAGUUUCAGGGAACGUGUAAACGCGCGUGUAGGUAUACCGUUUGCACACCUGUCGAUCGGCGGCUUAGCGCUCGGUUCAUCCGAUCCCGAUCGUCGGUGCUUAUAAUAUUAUUAUAAUACGCAUUGCAUUCCGUAUUAAAACGAUAAUAUUAUAAUAUAAAUACGUUUAAGCUCGGGUAUCACAAGCCAGAUUAAAAAGCUUUUAUUUUUUUUUUAUUUUUUUUUUUUAAUAGCCGCACGCCCGACUACCGCGCGUUAUUAUUUUGUCGGCAGCGGAGACCGCAACGCUGAGACGUGUCUACGUAACCCGACCUAACCUAACCGGGCGCGGAAACGGACGCGUGACGAUUGAAACGUCUUCGGGUCGGGUUGUUAAACGUAUAAUACAUAAAAUCUACACGACAAUAAAUCCAUUCGAACCGUAAAGACCAGUGUGUAUAACAUAAUAUGGUCUUAUAAUGGCUUUUAGCCAAUUAUACGGCUACACUGAUUGGUAAUCACCAAUUACGUUUUUAUUUUAAUAUUUAAACGUUCGGUAGUCGUUGUAUUAUUUUGCAAAUCCUUAAAAUAAUGUUAUCUGUUAUAUUGCAUUUACGCGUUCCGAUUCGCUGCAUUUAUUUUUUUAUGUACAUUAGCACGGGUAGAAAUUUGUAGACGGCGAAAUCGAUAGAUCGGGUUUUUGCCCGUACUACUACUGGCUGAAUCGAUAAGUUACCCAAAGUUCAUUAACGGCGAUUCGGCGAUUUUUUUUUAUUAUUAUUGCGCAGUCUAGUGUAAAAAAUAACUUUUUCGAGGAGGUCGAUACAGGAGGCGCAGAAUUUUUCUAAUAAGCUUACAGUUUGCAUUUACAAGUCUGUAUAGGCAUUUGCGAUUUUUCGUGGUAAAAUGAGAAAUUUUUAUAGAUUCAACAAGUCUUGCAUGUUGGCCCAGUCAACGAUUCGUAUUUAUCGGAAGAGAUUAAAUAUUAGUAAUUGCGUGUUUGUUCAGUUUGUUUUAUGGAUGCAAAUAAUACAAAUCGAAAAGUGACUAACGUACACUACUUAAAAUUCGAAAUUUAGAAAUGUUAUAAUUUCGAAUUACAAAAAAUUAUUACCAUUAUUUAUUUCAAUAUUAAAAAUGAAUUGUUUUCAUGUUAAUAGAAUUGGUAAUGAUGUAUAUUCGAGUCGAUUUAUAAUAUUUAUACCUAAAAGUCAACGAAACUGUAGGAAUUGUGUUCAGCGGAUUUCAAUUUUAAAAAACAGAUGAUGAUUCUUCAGGUUCUUUAUUAGGACGUGUUUAAAAAGGAUUUUUUUUUUUAAUGAAAGUUGUAAUCAAAUUUGAUUGUAUUUUCAACAAUUUUCAACAGUGUAUUUAUAGUAUUUUGACUUUUAGUUACGGUCAAAAAAUUUGAUAUCAUAAAAAUAAACCCGACGUAUCCUAGUUAAGCAAUUCCAACAGUUUGUUUUGGCUGUUCAGUCUAAAACGUCAAAUUUGUCGGUAAAACAAAGUUAGAAAAGUUGUAAUAUCACAAAGAGACUAAGUAAUAUCUUAAAUUCAUUAGUAUAGAAAUUGUCUAUAAUUUUUUGGAUUUGAACGUCGUUCAAAAGCGCACAUUUUACAUCGUUCCAUAUCGCACACAUAAUUUAAAACUGCAUACAUUCGAUUGGCAGUAAAAAACAUUAGGUGAAAUUGGAGACCCAAUAUGGUCACUCGCUCGCUGUGCUCACUCGGACAAUUUUAUUAGAAAAUAAUCCUCCAUUUGUUGGACAAAACCACGUCCAAUAGGACACAAAGUAAAACGUGUGCUGUAUUGGAUGUUAUCAUUUUGGGAAAACUAUAUAUAAAAGUGUGCGGUUAUGGCGACCGCCGUUUGUAUUUGAUGAAGUGAUUGUAAUAAAGCGAUCAAAUAAAUAAACAAGAUUGUGUUUUAUUCACCGCAAACGGCGACCGUCGUAACCAGGUGGUAACAACGGGUACAGCAUAAUAUACAUUGUUUAAUUGUUGUAAAAAACAGCGUUUCGAGUAAAAACUAUGUUAAUACUUUUGCACAUUACUCAAGCUCUGUAAUCAUCCGAUCAACUUGAAGUUUACAAAAGUAUCAUCUACUUAACAUACUGAUCAACCUGUGUAAAUUUCGAAAUAGUCAGUACAUUGGUUUAGGCUACAGAGAGGUCAGACUAUUUGUCGUAAAAUUACACAGGUUAAAUAAGGAGUUGCCCGUCUCGUGUAAUAUAUUACGGUCGAUGAACGAGUUUUUUUUUUUUACUUAGCUUUGCGCCCCGACCGCGGCCCUGGAUAUUAUACACAAUUGUAUAAAACAAUAUAUUUCAUUAUACUUAUAAUAUUACUACCAAUAAUGCAUUUUAUUAAUAUAAUGAAUUUAUUUAAUAUGGGGGGGGCACGUGCUUCCCCUGGGAACAUCAGAAAGUGGAGAGAGUAGUGAAACACUAUUCAAACCCCACGCGUUGUGCUGGAAAAAUAUAAUUUUCUGAGAAACCCGUAGUUUUUAGUGCUGGUUCCAAAUGGGAUAAAUCGGCAAUGUUUAAAUUUUUGACCAGCCGUAUUCGGACCUCUAAUUAGCGAACUGAUCAACUCCAGUUUAGUUGGACCGCUAAAUUAACAUUAAUAAAUUAGCGAAUCGUUGAAAACUUAAGUGAUUCGUUUGACCAUUGACGGUUCGUUAAACGUUUAUUAAACCCGGCUUAUGGGUGUCGUUUAACAUCACUUACACGACAGCAGCGCGUAGUAAACGGAUUUAAAUAAUACAACCAUGUUUUUUAUUCACGGUUACAUUAGUUUCAACGUAUACCCACUCGAUUUUCCUCCCUAUCGCGGUAAGUACGUAUCUAUCUAUGUUUCAAAACGGAAAUCUUAUCGGGUAUACAUUUUUACUAACCGUAACCCACCUGUAUAAACAACACAUCCGACGACAUAAAUAUUAUUUUAAACGUUUAUUACUUUUAUUAUACAAGUAUACCUAUAAUAUUUUAUGUAUGGAAACCGAGUGUUGAAUCUCAAACUAGUUUAGCGGGUAGCCGAAAUAAGAUUUGAAAAGAAUAAAAAAAAUCACGAUAGUAGCUUAGAUUCUGCUUUUUAUCUUUAUGAUCGUCACUGAACGGUACGCGGUUUUUGUUGAUUGAGGUCGUGUAAUAUUCGAGGGGGGUGGGAGGGAAGGAGAAAGAGAAAAUUUCCAUUAAUUUCGCCAUAGAGGGAAAAAACUCAAAAACAAAACUCGCAUUAGGUACACGUAAAAUAAUAAUUCAAACUCUCACAUUUACGUGACUGCAGCGAUCUUUCCGUUUAGUGUAUUCGAAAAGGAUUUCGUAAAAUAUAAUUGCCACUCGCAAACGAUUUUGGUAGCUGCAGACGUGAGUAGGUUAGGUAAUUACUAAUUUAUCUAUUCAAUAAAUUAAGCAAUUAAGGGCUGCGUUUGAAAACUCAGAGUAAUGUCGGACUAGAGUAGGAACAUAAUAUAUAGUAAAAUAUCCAUAUUAUCAAUUAUUCAAAUUAACGGCAUGGUUAAAAAUAAGGUUAACAUUGACAAUAAAUCAUAAGAACUGUUGACAAUUUUCCGUAUUAUAGAUUAAGUCAUUGAGCAACCGUGAAGAAAACGCGAAACUAGAAACAAAGAUGUGCGGUGAGCAGGGUGUAGAGAGGAUCUUCUCUGCCUUCUCUAUAUUUUCUUUGUCUUCGUGACGGCAAGGGAGAAAUCUUUUUAUCAUUAUGUUAUAAGCAUCUUUAUCAAUCGAGUUAAUCCGGAAUUGACGACUUUAAGUUACCGAACGGGGUAGUACAGAGUUAACUCUGACAUCUCGAACGAAACGAGAGUUUACUCGAGACAAUUAAAGUUCACUCGCGUCGAGUAAUCGAACGCAACCAAGGCGUUUAAAAUAAAUUAAUUAUAGGUAUUAGGCGAGUAUAUUUUCGAACAUUAUAGAUUCAUGUAGGUUACAAUACAAUGUGUUUGACUGGGCUGUCAAAAAUGAUUUAAAACCUAGUAACCUAUACGUUUUCGUUUGCCUAUGCGUCUAAAUUAUAAUUAAUGAUUUAUGUGGUUUAUUCAAGUUAUAAUUUAAUACAAUUAGCUAAUUAAUUACCACCGUUGAAAUGUUACAUAAAUAAAGGUUAGAUUAACAGAGUUGGGUUUCUGUUGUUUAUGGGAUCGCCUGCAGUAUUUGGAAAUCGAUAGUAAUUUAUUAAACUACGCUAAGUUUACACCUGGAUUAAUUGACAGUAAUAUAAUAUAUUAUCAAAAUACAUUUGUGUAGUGUAUACGGUGUUCAAUAUGCCUGUAAGCUACGAACAGAAAACAAAAAAAAUGCAUAACCAGUCUAAUGGCGGACACAACUAGGCAAUAGAUUUGAAAACAAAUUCCGUCCUAAACUGUAUAAACAAUUUAAUUUUUCAGAAAUUCCGAUUAAAUACACAGACACGAAUGUCGGGUACGUAUAGAGAAAAGUCCAUUGACUAUGACGUACUAUUAGGGCCGUUCUCAACAACGUAAAAAAGGCGUCUAUCUGAUUCCUAAACCGAGUUUAUGGCUGAUGACCGAUCGCGAUUGGUCGAUUGUCUUAUAAACUCCGUUUAAAAGUCAACGUACACGUCGGUGAGAACGGGUCUUAGAAAAUUAACAUUUUCCCAUUACCCCCCCCCCUCCCCCGUUUGGUAUUAUAUGCGAAUUAAUAAUAAUAUAACUGCAGUACGCACUUCAGUACUGUGGGGUCCGGUGCCGGUUUUCCGAAUCUUUCUCCGAAUUUGUAAAGUAUGAAAGUUAUUUUUAACAUUUUAACGACGACAGAUACGAAUUUUCCUAAAGUAUAUUGCCCGACACCCAUUAGGGUUGGUUAGACUAAUUGUUUUUGAAUAAUUUCGCGAGAACAGGGAUAACUCAUUGUCAAUACAAUAUUUUCCGACCAUUUGUUAUAAACAACAAAAUCUUACACGUCACAUUGAACUUUCCGAUUUUUCAUUAGAUUUCAAAUAACGAUAUAAAAAAGUUGACCUUUUUUUUUUUUUUAAAGACGUGUUCAAACGUUUGAGAUGAAAAAUAUUGAAAAACGGAGUGCAAUGCGCUGUGACAUAUUGCAUUUUUUUUUUUCUUCUUUUAAAUCAACAAUAAAAACAUAAUAUUAUCAUAAAACAAUCGCCAUCGGACGACCUAGGAAACAAAUGUACUUGAAUAAAUCUUGACGGUUAAAAUAUUAUUAUUUUUUUAUUUGUUUCAUUAUUAUUUACGUAUAGCGCAUUUUUAAUAGGAAAAUGUGGUUCCAAGUAUAACUAGUUAUAAUGAGUUCAUAAAAUAUUAUUUAUUCGAUUAUCAUAUUAAUAUAACAAAACUAAAUAUCACAACGAGGUCUAUAUGUCCAAUAAUGCAUAUUAUACGUAGACACUUAUAUUUUAUUUUACACGAGAAAUAUUAUGCAAUCCAACCUCAUCCGACUGCUUUGUCCUUUGAUAUUUGAUCAAACCGUAUAUUAUAUAAACAUUAUAUUAUGAUAAUAAUAUACUGUAUGUCUGUAUCAAUAUAUUAUAUUGAGUAGGCUAAAAAUGAAACUUAUAUGUUUUGAAAAUAACAUUUUUCUAGAUAAAAUAAAAAGACCGAGAAAAAGAUAUCUUGUAGAACGAUUAAAAUGACUUUUUUAUUUUUGGUAAUUAAGGAUAAAAAAAAAAAAAANAGGUUGAAGUUUAGAGAAGUGAGUUUUGGUAGUGGGAAUGGAAUACAUAAGUUUUGAUACCGUUUAAAUGGAUCGUAUGAUUUUCGACGCGGGUUAAAUAUGCUUCAGUAUCAAAACUCAUAUGAUCCAAUGGAACUUGUUACAGUUUUGAGUUACAAUUUUGUUAUUUACCGUUUUAAAUGUAGUCAUGUUUUUGUGCGUUUUGAAAAUAAUCGAUUUUACUGACUACAGAAACGGACUCGUCGUUGAAAAUCCUACACAACAGUGUCCCGAUAAACUAAUUUUUUCUAUUAUUAAUUUUAUUAUUAUAAAAAUUAGUCCAUAAAAUAUGCAAACGAUGGUACAAUGUCCACUGCGCGCAGCUUGUAUCGCGAUGUAAACGUAUAUUACUUGCAUAUUAUAUAACCAUAGUCCGCAGAGUCGUUCUCCGUUUCGUUUGUUAUUUCAAGAGUUUAAAAAAAAAAAAAAAAACCUAUAUAUUAUAAUAUAUAUUUUUGAUAAAAGCGUAUUUUUCAAUGGCAAUUGGAGUUGGCUUUUUUCAGUCAACUAUAAAUAUUAUUAAAAAAUGACGGAAUUUAUCAAAAAUUGUAUUCGAGUAUGUAAACGUAUUCGCGAUCAUUUAAAGUUUUUACGAUUAUUUGGUUACGCUGAAUUUCAUAAAUAUCACCGCCUCCCUUCCGAUAUAAAGACAAUUAUGAGGAACUAAAAAAAAAAAAAUCAUGUUCUUAAUAUAGUCUAAUUGGAGCAAUAUUAGUCGUAAGAGAAUUGUUUAAAAACGCGAAACGGUAAAAAAUUGAAAAAAAUACCCACUGAAAUACAAGAAAAGACCCAUAUGUUACAUAAUAAUGUUUAUGGGAUGUAUUGAAAAAAAAAAAGUAGAAAUUAAAUAUUACAUUUCUCGGUACGCAUAGAAUGAAUUCAUUACGGCGACACCGUCGUAUACACGUACAAACACGACUCACGAGCGCGUAUACUUGCGUACCUUGUAUCGUAAUAAUAUAUUAUUAUGAAUUAUGAAUAUUAUUAAAAACUAUAAUAUCACAGCCCAUAUUCACGAAACCGUCGUCGUAUAAUAUCGUACGGAAAACGAGAUUAUGAAUAUUAUUAAAAAAAUAUCACAGCCCAUAUUCGCGAAACCAUCGCCGUAUAAUAUCGUACAGAAAACGAGAUUGUUCGGUAAAACAUAAUAAUAUUAUUCUUAUUUUUUUUUUUUUUUUUUUUUUUUUUUAAUAUAGUAACACACUAACACAGUAUGGAAGCUCAUAAAUUAAUAAUCGCACAUUGAAAUAACUGGCCGCCGCCGCCGUCGUGGUUUACUUAUACUGCGUAGUAUACGUACAAUUUUAAAUUUCAUUUUUCAAUGUUAUGUUGUUCGAUAUGUCAGGCUCGUAGCCAAGAAUUUCCAAUUUUCAAAAAGGGUUCGUUAUUUUUCAUAAUGCACCCCUCCACUUUUUUAUUAAAACGGUAUACCUAAUUGAAACUAUUUUCUUUUCGUUAUUACAGUAGAUUCAUGUGAAAAGCACUCUCUAAUCGCUUAAAUUCCGUUUUGAGAACAUUUAAAAAAAAAAAAAAAACUUCCCAACUCUGUUGGUUGAAUAUAUGAAACGAAAAACAGGAAAUUCUUUUGAAUUUAAUUUCAGUUUAUUUUCAAAUAAAUUGUUAUAUUCAAAUAAUUAAGCACGAUCGUGUUUAUUUUGUUAUAGAUUUACAUAGCAAAUUAAUUUGAUCGCUGGUUAUUUAACGUUACAACUAGGUAUAGUUUUCAAAGUAGGUACUGUUGUACCACACGUUUUAGAUUCUGAGCGGAGCGAGGAAUAUAUUGGUUUCACAACGAUGUUUAUUCAUUUUGUUUUUCCGUGGUCAACUUUUUUAUCAAAUCGUAAAUAUUUCGGCUAUUCAAUAAUGUACAACCAAAAUCCGCUCACAGUCGUUUUUCGUUAUCAAAGAUUAAUCGUUGGAUACAUAUAUAUAUAUAUAUAUUAAAUUUCUCUCUAUAUCUUGCCUUCCGAACUUCUCGUCUACUGCAAUCUCUAUUGCAGUCUCUACACACCAAUCGCGCGGUAGUAUAUCCGUAUAUUUUUAGUCGAUUGUUUUGUAAAUGGCGUUUUUUUCGGCAACAAAUAAAUAACGACGGAACUAUCACGCCUUGUAUGAGUGUGCCCUGCAGGACAUAAUAUUGUCGGUCGAAAAACCGUUUCUCCGAGACAUUCACAUACUCAUAAUCUACUGGCGCGCAUCGCCGUCUCGGGUAUUGUGUAAACGCAUAAUAGUUAUCAUUAAAAAAAAAAAAAAAAUCACCGUUUUCGUAUAGGUACAUAGAGUUACAUAAAGGUUACAAUAACCUUUGGAUAUACAUAAUUCAUCGGCGAUGCGUUUCGGCCGGGACGUUUCCCACGGAGACGGUUUGGCGCGGUACGUCUCCGCACCUACAGUCGGCGGACACGACGGGAAAAUCAAAAGAAAAAAAAAAAUAAAUCGAAUAAUAAAAUGAGGAUACGGGUGGCCGCCGCCGCGCCGACGGGCGAUAUAUUCGAUCGGACCCGGCAACCCUUUUGUCGGCCUUUUACCGGACACGUUCGAAAAACCGGAUGUUCCACGUAUUGGUCCGCGGCGGCGUUUCCCAUCGCCGUCGCGCGGACACCGGUUUUUGUAUUCACGUCGAAAUUCUCACACCGGACACCGGCUAUUCUAUUAUUAUUAUUAUUGUUAUCUUCGUCGCCGCCGUGAAUCCCGAAUAUUUCAUUGUUGUUACGUUAUUAUUCCCGAUCGCGGUGCGCGUUCCCGAACAUUUGGCCGGUCGCGUUGCGAUACACGCGCCGGAAUUUCAGGUGUCCGCCGACCCCCCUUCCGGACAACAACAAUGGGACGAUUUCCCACGGACGGGCACGUCUUCCGAUGCCCUUUUGACCCUUCUAACCCCUUUUCCGUACCCUUUUUACAUUGCGUAAAUUACACGCGCUGUCCUUUUACUCGGACACUCGGAAUUGUUUAUUUUCUCUUACUCCACCCUCCCCCCCCCGUCAUGUGGCGUCGACUUCCGAUCGUGUGACCCGCACGAGCACGUUGCCACGUAAUACAUCGCCAUCGUAUUAUACUCGUAGUAUAAUUUUCGUUAUUUGUGUGUGUGUGUGUGUGAAGGGGGGGGAUAUAGUUUAUUAUCAUUUUAAUUAUUUUCGUUUUUUUUAAUUAUUUUUUUCUUUUAGUCAAUUAGUCGUCGCGCGUUAAUCAACCUGCACGUGCAGUUUUUGACAAUUAGCUCGUGUCGUCAUUAUUAUCCGUUGCCGUAGCCCUCUCGCGUUAUUUUUUUUUCCCCUUUGAACAUACCUACAUCGAAGCACGUGCGCUAAAAACAAUAGAAAACAUUAAAAAAAAAAGAAAGAGAGAAUUACAUCAUUAUAUUUAUACUACACGUGCUGAACGACCUAUUAUAAAUAAAAUAAGACUAACAGGUUUUCUUAUUUUACAUACUGCAACCUGCAGCAGCAACUAGUCAUGAUGGCACACACGUGUAUAAUUUAAUAAGUGUACCUAUAUAAUUAUUCAAUUUUACCAAAAAUUGAAAAAAAAAUAAUAAUUUCAUCACAAAGGACACUAUUAUAUAAUAUGCAAACAUUGGACUGAAUUGCAGUAGUCAAUGCAAAUCACUUGUUUCUUAAAUGUUCUAGAAAUCAAAUUUCGAAAAGAGUUAAUAUUAGAGCCCGGAUUUUUAUGCAAGUGCACGUUUUUCUGCUUAGAAUAAUUUUGAUUAAAAAUAUCGGAGUUUCGUAAUGUGUAGAUUCUUAUAGUCAAUAUUUUAUUUUGCAUAUUUUUGCAUAUUUAAGUAAAAAUGACUAUAAAUUACAUAUAUCUACAUAUUUGUAUGGGAGUUAUAUACUUUAUAAACGGUAAAUCAAUUGUUUUUUUAAAUUUUGCUCAGAGACGGUUUAACCUCUUGUAAAAGCUAUUUUGAAUUCUAAUUUCCAUCAUCAGAUAACUUCAGAUGAUUGUUUGGGCAGCGCGAUAGCAUAAAUUCUGUGAGCAUAUAAUAGGAAGUAUCGGAAGAGUCUAUAGUUUAUCGCUUAUUGGAUAAUGACUGGAUUUUUGGGUUAUUAGUCGGUGGCGAUUGCUCGUUGGUGUAAUCUGUCUGUAGUUUUUCAGCUCGUAUCAAAUAGUAUUUUGUUUAUUUAGUGUCAAAUAUUCUCAAGAAAAUGCCAACAACAGAAAAGUCGCAAUUUUACGUGAAUGAAUAUCUAGGUGUCUUUUUACAGAUGGAGUUCUAUUAUUUUGUAUUUUUUGUGAAAACAACGUCAAACAUGUGAUAGAUAAUCCUAGGUUACUCAACAUUUAGAAAUUUCAAAACACAAUGCCAAUAGCGUAGAUUGAAAUCAAAUAAAGACCAGGUAAGGUCAGACAUUUCUUGUUUUAAAUAUGCACCAUCAACGGCUUGUGACCCCGAAAGAAGUUUUUCUAAAUCUAUAAAUCUAUGCUAUGUGACAAUCGCAGAAGUUUUCAGUAUGAAAAUCUCAAAUCACGUUUUGUAAUUUCGUGUUGAUAUUCGUUCCAAAAUUAAUAUUUUACGGUUUCCGCGGUUAGUUUUAUAAUUAUACAAACAUGAUAAUUGAUAAAUAAUCAUUAAGUGUAAUAGUUUGGAUUUUUAAUUUUAAUUGUAUCUUAAGAAUAUUUUUGUGGUUUUCAUUAAAACGUUAUCGUCCAUAAAGAUUAUUCUAUAAUAAUAGUACCAUAACAGCGGUAUUUUGUCUCUAAAACCGUUUUUAAAAGCCCUUCUCGGUUGUUUUACGUCAACACAUUUUAUUCUUAUGCACGUUAUCCGUUCGGCAAACACGGCAAUUGCCAACGUGACGACCUUUCAAGUGUAUAAAUUGUCAACUCUAAUAUGUUCAGUGCAGAUAUGCAUAUGUUCUAAAACCAUUAAAUAUAUUUUAUUUGAUUGUUAUAGUUAAUCCUAGUGAAAAUACUCCAUGGUUUUUGAUGCAUUAAAUUAUUUUAUGCAGUAAUUUGAAAUUUGAAAUAUUAAAAAAAAAAAAAAAAAAUAAUAAUUGUAUUGGUAAAAAGUAUUUUAUUAAUACAAAACACGGGAACUAAAUAACAUAUUAUAAUAACAAUUUGCUAAUCUUUCGAUUGAUCUGUCUUGAUUUGUGGCGUUGAAAAUGUCGUAAAAAUGUACGAAAUCUUUAUUAAGUAGUACCGAAAUACGCGAGAUAAUUUUGUUGACGUCGAGUCGUUAUAGGUCACGCCAAACACAUUUUGAUACAAACUAUAGCUAUAUUUCUAUUUAUUUAUUUUUUUGAUUAACCGAUAAAAAUAUGCAAAAGCACAUUGUAAAUGUCUGCUUUAAAAUCAGGUAUAACGACAAAUAACACGUACUUAGUAGUAAAUAUUAUAAUAUACUACCUGUGGCCGACGACGAGGUGGUUCGGUCCGAAACCGGUCGUCGCGGGGUUGUUUAAUCGUCGGUUAAUUGAAAAAUUAAUAUAAAAAUAAUACAUUCGAAAUCAUUAUAAAUACUAUUAAGAUAAAUUGUAAUACGCGAUUUCCGCGACGCAUGUCCGUUCAAACUCGGGAAAUUAUUAUCAUUUUUGUUUUUUUAUUGAAUUGCGAAACUAGCCGACUGUUUCAGGUAAAAAAAUUAACGUCCUUUGUGCCGUUUCGUCCUUGCGUGCGCCGCUGGCGAACGUUUUCCAGAAAGUCAACUGGUAUUUUGUAUUUUUUUGUAGUUGUUUUUUUUUAUACAUAUAAAAACAUGGUAAUGUUCAGUUUAGAUUAAUGUGAAGGAAUAGGGGAGGUCGAUAAUAUGAUUUAUUACGCAUACUUAACAGUAAAUAAUAUUUUAUUACAGGUUUUCCAGAAUCUCGAAACUAACUGCAUGCUAUAUACCAGGUGAUUUAUUUAAGUGUGUACACUCAUUAUCUCGGAAUUAUUAACUUUUUCCUGAAUUUGUUUUCUAGAACAUUUAAGAACCAAGUUGCGCCACAAUUUUAUAUUUGUGCUAUUUUUUGUCACCCUUAUUUUUGGGGGUAAAACAACUACCUAAUUUUGAUUUUCAAAUGGCAACCCGUAUUAAAAAGUUCAUAAAUAGAUUUUAUAAAAACACGGACGCCAUUUUCUACCAGAAAAAAAUCAUUUAAUCAAAAAUUCAUAAGACACUAUUUUUGUUGCCUUUUUGAUUUAAUUUCUUGCGGUAUCAUCGGUAAAACUUUUGAGCUUUUAAGGGAUUUUAAUUUUUGGGAGUUUUUUUGCUGUAAUUCGGUUAUAAACUCAUGUAGAGACUUGAAACUUGGUAAUAAUACUUAUAUUGGACUCACCUAGACGAUGUAAAAUUUUUAAAAUCAUUGGACAAGCGUUUUGAAAUCGAAUUUAAACGAAAAUCGCAAAAUAAAUUACGGCACUUUAGAUUAUGUAUUAUCGAACUGCGCUCAGAAUCGUCUUUCGUCAAGCAAUGGUUUAUCGUUGCUUACAGAUAUAAAUGAAAUAACCUUAUGUAUCCUACCUUUCCGAUUUCUCACCUACAACAGUGGCCGCUCCCAUCCCCAGUAUUAGCUCUUUUUCAACUUUAAAGCGAAAAAAUGUAUUCAUAAUAUCUUAAUACUAAUCAAAAAUAAAAUUGAUCAAUUAUUUUUUAAUUAAAUAUAAUUUAUAAAAAAAACACUGUGAAAUUUAUUAAAAGAGUUCAAAUAUAGGUGCAAAAAAACGGACAUACUUCGCACGACGGGUUGGCCACUUUUGUAGGUGGAAAGUUUGGAAAGCAGGAUACGUAAAGUUAUUUAAUUUAUAUCUUGUACAUAAUGAUAAGCCAUUAUUAAUGAAAAACGAUUCGGAGCGAAAAUCGGUAAGACAUAUUUUGAAAUGCAAUAAUUUUUAUGAUUUUAGUCAAUAUUUGAUAUUAAAAUUCUUAUAAAAAUGUAAUACAACAUUAACUUCAAUUUUUAUUUUUGACCACGAAGUACGACUUAUAAUGAGCCUCCUCUUAAAUUUUCAAGCAUUUCUAUUUAGUCAAACAAUUUUACCCACAAGGUGCCUACCGAAUAAAAAUCUCGAUAAAUAGCUUAAAAAUGGUUCAAAUAUUUUGCCACGUCUAGAAAAGGUAAAUAUUAGUUUUCAGUUCAAAUUUCAAGUCUCUACAUUUAUUUUCAACUGAAUUACAACAAAAAACAAAAUUAAAAAUACAUUCGUACAUUUUUUUAUUUUUCCCGGGUUUUCCCGAUUAUUAUGAAAAUCGCUUAGAAAAUCAAAAAAAUUACCUUCCUAAAGUACCGAUUUGAUAUAUGUUUUAUUCCGUGCUACACUUGAUACACAACAUUUUUGGUAGAAAAUAGUUGUUCAUAGAAAAAAAGUCAAUAACAAAAUAAAAUAAACAUAAUUGUAAAACCAAUUCCUCGUUACGCUCCCAAUCUAAAAUGUAAAUGUCAAUAAUACAAUAUUAUAAGUAGGUGUAUAAAAUAUUAAACAGCUCAAUAAAAAAUUAUUAUUUAGACAACGUUUUCUAUGAGUUUAAAAAUAAAAAUGCUGCCAUAAUGGUACCUGUAUAACUCAGUAGUAAUCAGUAACCACAAUAGAUUUAUUUCAAGGCAUCUAAGCUUAUAGCACGAUGCUGUUAUUUCGGUAAAAAUAAUUAUAUUUUAAAUUGGGGGUGCCGGCUCACCUAGGUGCCCGCUUGGCUUCACGCCUGUAUAUACGGGAUUAAUUUCUAUAACCGAAUUCCAACAAAAAAAAAAAAAUAAAAUAAAAUAAAACAAUGACGCUAACAAUAACAUCCGUUUUUGCAAAAUCAGUAUUUAGCGGCUAAGAAACUGUUUAAGAAACUGCCGUGCAAAAUGUCAUGUUUCCAGAUCAAAUGUGCGUCGGUAUGUCGGUGAGCAUAACGAAUCUCAUUAUCUCAUUAUACGUGAUAUAUACAUUCACGGUUUAUAGUUAUUAUUUAAGUGAAUAAAAUUUCGCUGUCGUUAAAUUAACGUAAUUACCGAAUAUGGGCUCCAUUAAUUAUAGAUACAUCAAGAUUAAGAUUGUGUUAAACAGUCGUUAAAUUAUUUAUUCCGUAUAUGUAAUAUUAUGUGUGAUAGCUGAGAGUUGACACUAAUUUGUUGUACGAAAAAAAAAAAAAUUAAAAAAAAAAAAAAAAACAUUAAUGAAACAUUUUACAACAUACACAUAUAUAUAUAUAUGUAUAUAUGAAUUGGUAUACCUAAUCUAUAAAAUACAAAUUACGUAAAUGAGUAUAAAAUGCAAAUAAGUGUUAUUAUAGAUACCUAUAAUAACAUAUAUGGCAGUGGUAAGCUGUGUGCACAUAAAUAAUACAAAACAAAAAAAAAAAAAAUCUAAAAUCUGACUGUAUGACAAUUUUAACACUAUACACCGAGGAAAGAUGUUAAUAGAUUGAAAAUUUAUAUACACAUAUAUAGAUAAAAUAAUUAUUAAUGUUCUGACGAUCUAAAAACUAUGUAAAAAAUAACAUUUGAUCACUAUCCAGAAUUAGUAAAAAUGCAUAAUACGUUUGAGUACUACUGUAUAAGUAUGAUUAUAUUAGCAUUUUUAAAUUAUUACUUUAAAGAUUUCAAAAAUCUUAGUCGGCAUUAAUCAAUUUAAUUUUAAUAACGAGAUUUAAAUUUUUUAUUAGAAUAUGUUAUACAGAAAAACAGAUAGGUAAUACAAAUAUUUCUUUACAUUAACAUCCUCGUCACUUUCAAAUACAUAACACGUUUUGAUACUUAAAUCGUACUCAAAUACUGGUAUAAUCGCAUUGCUCAAUUUUCCUAUCUUUUUAAUUUUUUUUUUUUUAGGUUUUUACCAUUCAUUAAUAAUAUUUUCAAUUUUUUUUAUAAUACUUUCGCGAUGUUUUAACUUUUACCCGAAUUUUCAUGACAUAUUAUAUUGCAGUAGAAUCCCUAAUAUUAGUCGUUAUAUUUUACUAAAAAAAAAUAUACCUACUCAUUACCUUUUUUUUUUUGAAGGUAACUUGGUUUAAUUUAAGUUUGGCGGUAUCUGACCGAUCAAUCAUACGCGAAUUAUUUGUAGGUGUAUUUAAAUGUCUUGCCGUGAUAUACUAUUUUAUUAACAAUACAAAUCGCGGAUAUAUUAAACGUAUUUAACAAAUAUAACAAAAAAAAAAAAAAAAAAACACGAAAACUCCUCACGUUAAAUAUGCACUAUAAUACGACGUCGACUGAUUGCGACUACCAUACUCUAAUAUUGUAAUGGUUACAUUGAAAAUGGCCACUAGCGAUUAGCCAGUUUUUAUUAAAUAUUAUUAUUUGUAAAUAUUUGUUACAAACGUACCGGUAAACCGUAUAUUUUGCGAAAUAUCUAUCAGUAGGUACAGCGUAUUCCGUUUGUCAGGUAUACCCAACAGCAAAAGAGCAGUGCGUUAUAGUCAGUGGCGUAAUUGAAAUUUCUAAUUCCCUCGUCAAAAUAUUGUAUUUAGACCCUGAAGGCCACUGCUAGGACGUCCUCAUCAGCUGUGGACCCGUGCCAUUUGCUCGACUUGCCCACCCGGUAUUUACGCCGUUGGCUAUAGUAUCAAUAGGUAUUACCGUGACAAUAAUCGUCGACCGAUUAAUGAUUUGAUUUAACAUUUUUUUAUUAAGCUUACUUUUGAUAGCGCUGGGAACAAAAUGUACACGGUUUCGCGACAAUAUUUUUGAAGUCGCCUCUUAAUCAACGCCUUAAUAGAAACUCUUAAUGAUGAUUACGAUGCACGUAAGCUUGUGUCUUGAUACAUUUUAAACCUGAUGGUUUAUUAUAAUAUCUGAAAAAAAUGAAACAAAGGAUUUAAAUAAAAGUGCAUAUUCACCCUGGAUGUCUUUCUCGCCUAUUCGGCUUUCGAAGGUCGACCUACAUCUCAGUUCCAAAUCCACAACCUUCGUUUAUGAAGGUUAAUUUGACAAAACUCUUUUGGUUUAUUAUGAUGUGGUUUUCUCCUGAAUUGAACAUUCCAUACAUCAACCCUUUGUUAAAUUCGUAUUUUUUUUUAUUUUUAGCUCACCGUGCGAUUGAAAUGCUAAACAGCGACAAGUUCAAUGGUCGGCCGAACGAAAUGGCGUGGUAAAGCCGCCGAACGAGUGAUUGUGUUUAUUAAUAAAGUAAAAUUAUAUAGUUAUUAUGUUUCCGGUACUUAUUGUUCAUUGAAUUAGAAUACCUAAUGUUUUUUCUAUUAUGAUUCCUUAUAGAAACGAAGUGUUGUUGACGCAAUAACCUUGAGUCACC
rnacentral:lncRNA from 1 species